rnacentral:lncRNA from 1 species
UCUUAUGAAUAUGAUCGGCUAACGUGCCCCCUGCCAUAAAUUCAUAAACAAGAAUCAUCUCAUAACCUUCAUCACAGUAACCAAUCAAGGACACUAGAUGGCUGUGCCGAACUUUUGAGAGCAUCUCAAUCUCUGCCCGGAAUUCUGUGGAUCCUUGACUCGACAUGGAUUUCAACCGUUUUAUGGCAACUAAAGUUGCUCCCAGAGUUCCUUUGUAAACAUUUCCAAACCCGCCUUUUCCGAUCACUAAAUCGUCGUGGAAGUUAGAUGUCGCCCGCUUCAUCUCAUUAAAGGAGAAACGGUAACAUGAUUGUCGAGUAGACAAUGAUUGAAGCCAGUUAUUUUGCUCCACGACUUCUGCUUCUUGAAGUUUUUGGAGCAUAUAAACCACGAUAUUCAAGAUGGUAAUAAGAAUAAUUGCUAAAUUUACAAUGAUGUUUGUAUUAGCAUGCAGAUCGCGUUGACACUUGCCAAGUUAAGAUCCAGCAAACAUGAAUACGUUAUGUAACUUGUAACAAUAUUUGUUCAUUUUAGGGGGAAAAAGUUUAAUAAUCCGUUAAAUGUUGGCAUGUUGAACUGAGUGAAAUUUGGGAGAGAAAUAAAGGUUGAAGUCGUAGAUGCAGUAUGAACCCAUUCCUUGACUUUCAAAUGCAGAGCUGAUAUAUUCCUUGAAUUCUUCAUCGUAGAGCUGUCUGAGAUAUCAUGCCCAAUGACUUAGCGAGAGCAGACAAGAACCCUGAGAUAAACUCACAAGUUUUCUCCGUUAAAUUCAAACAUAUAAAUAUAGUUUUUUUUUUUUUUUGCGACAAUAUAAAUAUAGAGUUUACUUCUUUGUAUGAUUUUGUUUGUCUUAUCUUUUUUGUUUGUCUUAUCUUAUUUUUCAAAUUUAAAUUAUUUACUUUAAAAAAUAUAUAAAAAUAUAUACUUCCUCCGUCCCUGUCAUUUCUUUACAGUUUUUUUCACCGCUCGACACGCAUUUUAAGGCUCUUAUAAAAUAUAGUCCCGUAACUUAUUUUUCAAAUUUUCUUUUUGUGUAUAAAAAUUCAAAUUUUUAUUAGAAAAAACGAAUUAAGAAAUAUGUUACGGGGAACUAUGUUUUCUAUUAUUAUUAAAAUACGUGCCGAACUCUCGUCCCCCCACCUAAACUACCUAGGGGCAGAGCAGGGGCGGACCCAUAGCCUUGGCUAUGGGUUCCCGGGCACCCACUCAACUUCCCACCGAAGUGUAAUUAUAAGGUAAAUUUCGGUUAAAAAUUAAUUUAAAAUUUAGCAGGAACCCACUAAAAUAUUUACCAAACUCAUUAUUUACCUCAAUAAUUUAGAGAUCUUAUUAACUAUUGGGCGAUUGGUGUUCGGAAUAAUUUAAAAUGUUGUAUUUAUUAAGAUAUUUGUCUAAAUAUAUACUUUUUAGUUUCCGGUGUUCUUUAAAUUAACAUUUAAUAUUAAUAUCAAAAAUUUAAAUAUUGAUAUCUAAAUAAAUAUUUAUUAUUUAUAUUACUAAAGUAAAAUAAGGAACCCAGUGAGAAAAAUUUCUGGGUCCGCCACUGGGGCAGAGGGAGUAUUACUUUGGUAUUCACCCAAAUACACUAGAUAAUCACAUAUUCUCCUGGUAUAGACCUCGUCACAGCAUUGUGCUGGAGUUACUCUGACCGUAAGGAAGUAGGUAAGGAUACCAGCUAGUGGAGUUUUUACUCUAUAAACAACAGCAACGAAAAAACAUACAUAUAUUCACCGACUCUAAAAGUCUAAGUCAUACAAUGAAAACAAGACAAACGCAUUUGACAUUUGGAUCAGAUAACCUGGAUUACUGGCCCUUAAUAUAUAUUUUAAUAUUCUAAUACAGAUUAAGAGAUAGUUGUUGGCUUCCUCUAAUCUCAACACUUAUUCAACUCAAAUUUUCCCCGAUGAUUCACAUAUAUUAAUCUACAUAUAUAUCACUUAUGUGAAGAUCAUUAAGAUCAUUAAGCCUAUAAAUACAAGGCUUUAGUUAACUAAUACAAAACAAAUUAAAGAUGGGAAGAUCAAUAGCAAUCUCUCUAGUUGUAGUACUAGUGUGUCUCAUCUUAGCAUCAGAAACAGCAGCAAAGAAACGAAAAUCUCCCCCACCACCUAAACAAUCUCCAACGCUUUAUCACUCCCCUCCUCCACCAAGAGCUGUGGAAUAUCCUCCGCCACCACCUCCUAUUUAUUCUCCCCCACCUCCACCUCCUCCACCUCCUCCUCCUCCUCCUCCUCCUCCCAUGCACUCAUUGCCACCACCAUUUCAUUAUCACUCACCGCGCCAUCCGGUUCAUGCCCCACCACCACCUAAGCACCAUUCUCAUCACUACAAGUACAAGUCUCCGCCACCACCUGCACAUUAUCCCGCACCAAAAUAUCACUACAAGUACAAGUCUCCGCCACCACCACCACCAGCCACGCAUCAUUAUUACUUUAAUUCACCUCCCCCUCACCACUACUAAGAUGAAGUGUCCUCAUUGCCGAACAAGAUGAGGUAAUAUUAAUGGCGUACGUGCAUGAUGUUUUCGAUAUAUCUAUGGGAUCAAUAUAUGAUGAUGUAAGGCAUCUAAUUUUCAUUUUAUGUAUCAAUAAUUUGUUCACAAUCAAUAAAAUUUUGUUAUGUGUUCAGCGUGAUCAGAUACUAAUUAAUAUUUCAUGUUUGAUCUCACGAGGAGUGUGAUAUAAAAUUCAUGGUUUAAUUACUGUAUGUACCAUUUUAGACUUUUUAGUAGAGCACCCUCUCUCGUAUAUAUUGUUACUCAGUACUCCCAUUUUAUAUGACUUUUACUCUUUUUUGGGACGUCCACAUACUUACUAUUUUUGAACACUACUUUCUACUAUUACACUAACUACUUUCUUCCACUAUCUCCAUUAUAUAAUAAUAUAAACACUAUUACACCCACUACUUUCCUCCACUAUCUCAAAUCUAUUAUUAAAUAUUGAUAGGUUCUCCCAUUUUUCAACUAAACUUACUACUCCCUCUGUCCCCUCAUUUGUUUACAUUGGGGGACGGGGGCUCGUCACGCAUUAUAAUGCUCUCGUAAAACGUAGUUCGAUAAAUUAUUUCGAACUUUUUUUUGUUCUGAAUAAAAAUUUGAUGUUUAUAUUUUUAUACAAAAAAGAAAAAAAUUAAAAAUAAGCCUUAAAAUGCGUGUCGAGCAGUGUGAAAAAACUGUAAACAAAUGAGGGGACAGAGAGAGUAUCUUUUUCUUAAUCUUCGUGAAAGUCAAACCAGCUCAUUUAUUAUAGGACGGAGAGAGUACGUAGUUAGUACAUGCAUAUUCAACAGGUUAAAGUCAAGGUGUUGCUCGCUCCUCCAAAGAAAAAAUGUAAAAUGUUCGCAUCAUAUUUGUCUCUGGAUAACUGAGAUGCGGCCACUUUUUUUUACGGAAAAUGUUUCGUGCACGUAAUUGUGUUCAAAAUUUUGUAUAUAAUAAUAUGUGGCAGGUUUUAAUUGUAAUGUGUCAUUUUAUUCACAUCAACAACCCCAAUUAAAAUAUUUUACAUCAAUUGUCAUCAUGUACAAAAAUUUUGUACACAAUAACAAAAAUGUACAAAUAUAUACUUAAUUUUGAAAAAUAUAUUUUUUUGCUUAUAUCUUCUAAUUUUUUUAUUUUGCUAAAUUUCUUAUAUCUUUUUAUUUACUGUUAGUUCAAUAAUAAAUCAAUAAACAUCAACCUCUUGCUGCACCUAACACUCAUUUUAAAGUACCAGUUCUACUGUUGCAUUUUGUUAAUCGAGUCCUCUCACGUCUCAUGAUCAUGAGGCUGGAUGCUUUUUAUUUAAAUUAUAAACAUCUGGAAUCGAUUUAACCAUUGUUUUAUAUUGUCUGUGUUAUUUUGAACUAAGAUCCAAUUUUCUAGAUAACAGGUCAUCAGUUUGGAAAAUGCCCUAGUCAGUCUUUAUUAGUGAUAUUCUACGCGCAUAGGCUUUUCUGAAGAAUAUAAAUUAUAACCAGGUGGGCGGAGGGCGGAUACACAUCUAUAUAUGUUUCCAAUUGGUCUGAGAUUAUGUUGGUAACUACAGAAUAAGGCUUGGUCUCCAUCCAUAGAUACGUUCCUAUUUUUCAUAGCUGACGUACCAAGUCAUAAAUACUUGUCUUAUUUCUAUUUUCAAACACAAUAUACAUGUAAAUCAAUUUAUUAAUUCAAUGCAUUUGUUAGAAGUACAAGGGAAACUAAUUAUUCAACUAUUUUUUUCUCAAGAUGGGUAAUUUUUUCAAAAGGACCUGUAAAAGUUGACGAAGAGAGUAUGUUUCAAGUUUAAUUUUAUCUCAUUCAAAUAAAAUUCAUUUAUAUAUAUUCAUAUUUUUCUUCAAAUAAAAAAUCUUGUAAUUAGUUAGAGCCUCUUUUAAAUCAUAAACUUUACGAGAUCUUAAAUGAUUAGUGAUUUAUAUAUGUUUAAGUUAGAUGAUGUACCAGUAAUAGUUAAGUAAAUUAGACGUUUAUUUUACAGUAUUAUUUAUCAUUAUAGUGCUAUUAGUAUAUUAAAUUAAUUUUCUGAUAUCGGGUUUCGGAUUUUGAGUUUCAGAUAGAGGUUUUCGAGUAUUUCAGAUAUCCAAUCCAAAAAAUUUGGGUUUCGAAUGUACCCGAAUUCGAUUCGAAAUCCGUUGGAUCAGAUUCGGGUAUUAAUUUUCGAAUAUUUUUCAGGUUUGGAUCGGAUUCUGCAAUGGAUAAAAAAUUCAGGUUUAAAUAUGAAUUAUGUCAUACCCGACCCGAUUGACAUCUCUGAUAAUUCAUACUACAUAAUCGCCUACUUAGUUUUAACGGAUUUGUACCUUGUUCUGGUGGUGGCAUGAUCUCGGCUAUAUGUGAUAUAUUGAUAUUGCCGACAUAAUCCGGACGCACUCGAAGAGCAUGAGGAUUCUUGUUUUUCUUACAACAUGGGCGUGAAAUCAAUCCGUAAGCAGGUGUAACUGUGAUAUUUUCUAUUAGUAUAUAAGAUUUUCUGAUUUAAUAAAAAAAUUCUAAGUUAAAUACCACAUUGGCGUGAAAUCAAUCCGUAGAGAUAAAACCUGCACCAUCUGCAUUGAUUUAAAACAUAUAAACAUCAAUAUUUUUUUGAAUAUUUUUUUAACAUUAUAUCUAACUAGUGAAUAAAGCCGCGCUUCGCGGCGGCGUUAUGAAUUUUUUAUAAAUUUUGAUAGGAAUUAAUAUUAUAAUUGCAUAAAAGUUAUUUUGAGUCAUGUUCCUGUUAAACAUAUCAUUAAUAAAAAAUAUUAUAAUUAAUAUAAAAAUUUGUUUAAGUGGUCCUCAUGUCAAACACAAUACUAAUAAAAAAAAUUGUUUGACCCGCCCUCCCAUCAAAGACAUGAUGAAGUUAAAGAUUAUAUUUGGAUAAAAAUUAUUUUAAGCUGUGGUCACGUUUUAAUAAAAAAAUACAUUAUAUCAUAGAUAAAAAUUUGUUUUAACCGCUUUCCCGUCAAACAUAAUACUAAUAGAAAAUUUAUUAUUAUUUAGAUAAAAAUUAAUUUGGGCCGCCCUCCCCUCAAACACAAUACUAAUCAAGAAUUUUUUUUAGAAAUUUUGAUACGAAAUAAUAUUAAACUUACAUAAAAUUUAUUUUAAGUCAUGUUCCUAUUAAACAUAUCAAUAAGAAAAAAUAUUAUAAUUAAUAUAAAAAUUUGUUUAAGUGGCCCUCAUGUCAAACACAAUACUAAUAAAAAAAAUGGUUUGACCCGCCCUCCCAUCAAAGACAAUAUUAAUCAAUAAUUAUGAUAAAAUUAAAUAUAAUAAUAUAGAUAAAAAUUAGUUUGAGCUACUCUUUUGUCAAGCACAAUACUAAUAACAAAAUAUUAUAAUAUAGACAUUAGUUUGAGUGGCCCUACUGUCGAACACAAUACUAAUAAAAAAUAUUAUAAUUAUGAUAAAGUUAAAGAUUAUAUUCGGAUAAAAAUUAUUUUAAGCCGUGGUACCAUUUUAAUAAAAAAUACAUUAUAAUAGAUAAAUAUUGUUUUAGCCGUUUUACCGUCAAACAUUAAUACUAAUAGAAAAUUUAUUAUUAUUUAGAUAAAAAUUAAUUUGGGCCGCCCUCCCCUCAAGCACAAUACUAAUUAAGAAUCAUUUACAUUAUGAUAAAAUUAUAAUUAUAAAUGGAUAAACAUAUCCAAUUUUAUAGAUUUUAGCUAUUAUAUUUUUCUUUAAGAUUCAGAUUUUUUAAUUGUUUAAAAUUAUCUCUCUUUUCUUUUAGGAUUCCUAUUUCUUAAUUACUUAGAAUUUUCAUAGAUUUUAGCUAUUAUAUUUUUGUUAAAAUUCCUAUUUCUUAUCUACUUAGAAUUAUAUCGCUCUUACGAUUACUAUUUUUUAGCUACCUUACCUAUUUUCUCACAAAAAAUUAGAAAAAUUAAACAGAAUUCCCGCGUAUCUUCUCAAGAAUCAUUUAAAUUAUGAUAAAAUUGUAAUUAUAAUUGGAUAAAUAUAUCCAUUUUUAAUAGAUUUUAUUUUUUAAUUUUUUUGAAUUAUCUCUCUUUACUUAUAAUCUUUACUUAUAAGAUUCCUAUUUGUUAACUACCUAGAAUUUUACAGAAUUUCACAAAUUUAGGAGGCGCUUUUCUCAUCUUUCUUUAUAUUCUUUACAAUAAAUUCACCAAAAUAAUAAUAUAAAAAAGACCGAACCUGACAUGAACGUAUUCUUUUAAUUGCAAAAAGAAAACAUGUUAAAGAACUCAAGACAUGGUUUGAACUUUGAUGAUGAAUGAAAUCACAACCACCCCAUGAUUUGAGAUUAAUUAUUGGCAAUAGUGGCCGCAAGCCGUUUGAUCAACAGGCAAAUCUAAGGUGUAAUUUCUUUUUCUUUAAAAGCAGCACCUUGAUAACCUUUUGGCCAGCCGGCGAGGGGUUAUGAAAAAUCAUGGGUACUAAUUACUAUAGCCUCGAACGGCUACAUAAAUAAACAUAACAGAACAUAUAAUGGCCGUUUGGAUGAGUUUAAAAUAAGUGCUUCUUGCUUAAAAUAAAAAAGUGGAGCAGAAGUUAGAAGCAAAUUAAGACUUAUAAGUGAUUAAAGUGUUUGAGAAAGAAGUAGAAGUCCUGAAACAAAAGUUAGCAUUCCUAGCUUAUUAUAAGUGCUUCUUGACUUAUUAUACAAACGGUACGAAUAAGUGCUCCUAACUUAUAAUCCAAGAAGCUGGACUUAUAAGUGUUACACAAACACCCACAUAAACGCAAACACACUAAGCUGUUGACAUCAGAUUCAGUUUAGUAGGAUUCAUGCGGUGUCAAAAUCAGGAAUUUGUAGAAAUUUUGGAAAAGACGGUGCGCCAAAACAAUCAAAGAUAAAACUAAAAGAAAAAUCACAUGGACUUAAAACAUCUUGAAAUUUCUGUUAGGUAAUCCAUAGNCCAAUAAGUUUCUGAAUAAAUCUCUUCCGAUGAGUUUCCGGAUAAAUUUAAGAAAAUUAUAAGACUAAAUUGAAAAUAAGAAUUGUAUUACUUUAUAAAUCUCAAAUAUAAAUUGUAUUUCUCUUAGGAUUUCUAAAUAAGAAAAGAAUUGUAUUAUCUUUAGAAUCCAAUAAGAAAAAGAAUCAUAUUAUCUUUAGAAUUGUACUAAACUUGAAUUUUUUUGAAUUAUAAUUAUAUUUUUCAUCCGAAAUUUAAGAAAAAUUAGAAGACUGAAUCGAACGAUUCUAGAGACACCCGCAUCCUCCUUUAUAUAUAUAUAUGAUUAGUCCGCCAAUUUGAAUAAAUAAUAUAAGUUAGCUCGUUGAAUUGUUUAUGUUAGAAUCAAUUAUACAAUCAUAUUUUAUAUAUUAAUUUUUUUUACUUAAAUUAGUUCAAUUUCAAAAUUUGAUUUUCAUUUAUUCGAUUUUUUUGUAUACAGUAGUUUGACUGAUUCCGUUAAAUAUUAUGUCCACUAUAUCUUUGUUUACCGUAUAAAUCAUUCAGUAAUAAACAAGUCAUGUCCAACUUUAUUAGAAUGUUCAAUACCAAAUGAUAACAUAGAAAACAAAAUUUUAAUAUUCAAACUAUGCAAUUUUUUACCGUUGCACAAUAUUUUUUUACCGUUUUGCAACAUUAACUAAAAUAUUAGUAGGGUUACGUUUUUCCUUAAAUCUGGUACUCUACUCUAGUCAGAAAACUAUUGCAGCAAUAGUUGGCAUAUUAGAAGUUAAUAGAAAAAGUCCAGAGGUGUAGUCCUCUGGAUGAUCAACUAAGGAACCCUUGACAGAUGAAGUUAGGAAGCUCUUGGAUGUUGAGUUCACCUGCCACAAAUGUAUGAGCUAUAUCGAGGGACAGAUAACAAUACUCAAGAAGGUCAAUUCUUUCGUAUUUACUCCAGCUAGAGUGUUUCAGGUACUCUCUAGCAAUGAACUCUGCGUGCUUGCCGUCUAUGCUCUGCCAAAUGUCCUCCAGAUCACCGUAAAUUGGAAAGCUCUUAAUCAUCUGAAUUUAUUAAAUGAGGAAUUUCAUUUAAUCAAUUCAAACUGCUUAUGUGUUAAAGAAAUUGACUGCACCUGAACCUUAGCCGUGCCUAAGUAAGUAAUGAAUAUUAGGGCGAUCCCUUGAACUGGCCACCUGAAUCCUCGCUAUCAGCCUGUGUUCUGUACAAGGAACUCAGAUUAAAAUCCAUUUAUCAUCAUUCAAUUAUAUAUUUUAUUGCUUAGAUUGUCAAUUUAGAACUGAGAAUUUAUAUAGCAUUUUAUGUUACUAAUACUCAUUUGUGCAUCCCCUAACCUCUCUUGAAUCUUACCUCAGUAUCUUCACUCUCUUACUCACCUCACCUGAUUCUCGCUCAACUCUCAACUCUCAUCUCACUUUCUCCACUCUCUCUCUCAUUAAAAGUGCAUUUGAACCGUAAGUAGGGUUAAUCGCCUCAAUUGGGUUCAAUCCUCGCUCUCUUUUGCUCUGGCUAAUUAAAGUAGCUAAUCGAAGCAGGGAAUUCAUGGAUCUUAAUGGAUUUUACGGGUCUUCAUGAAUUUCUUAUAAUUGAUACAAUUACAUCGACUUUUUCAUGGAUUUUGUACUAAUCAGGACUACAAUCUUCAUUUUCCAGGAGAUUAGGGCUCUCUCUCGAGGCUUGAAGUCGGGGCUUUUACUUUGAGAUUUGAGUUAGGACUUUCAAUUAAGGUAAAUCCAUAUUUAAUUAUGGUAUAAAUUUGGGUUUUGUAUUCUAUAUGUGAUGCCAUAAAUAUGGGUUUUGUAUUCUAUAUGUGAUGUUUUAAUUUACAUGUUUUAAUCAAGGUAAAUCGAAUCCUUAUGGUGUAACUUUGGUUUUGUUUUUUAGAAUAUACUGUAUUGAUUGAAAUAGAAUGGGAGAAAGAAGAGGGCGAGAGACAAAGUAGUCGAGUCUAUAGAGAGUCACAGAUUAAGAGAGUUAAAGAAAAUAGGAACCUUAGGGUGAUUUUAUAUAUAUGAACUUUACACCUUAUGUACUUUAUCUUUGGUGUAUCUUGAUUUUCUUGCUUGUCCAUCCGUAUUUAUAAAGACAGACUAGAACUUAUAGUAACUCUACAAUCUUCUUUCCAUUGCAAAGUUGCAUCUUAUUAAGAUCUAUUCCUGCAGGCAGAAUGAGAUUGAUAGUAAAUUUCUAGAAGCACAGAACAUCAUGGACUAUAGUUUUCUGCUUGGUGUGCAUUAUCAAGCUCCGCAGCAUCUGCGAUCUCUUAUGUCUUAUAAUCAAAGUCUGGCAGACGGACUUGGAGUAGUUGCGGAAGAAGGUGGGAUGCACAUUUGUAUAACCAAUUUAUGAUUUAAAGAUUCCUAAAUCUUUCGAUCAGGAUAGGUCACACAUAAGAAAAUUGAUUUCUAUUUCACAGCUAAAAGUCACGCAUUUUUCAUAACUAUAUUAACUUCAGAGCACUAGACUCCUUCUGCAGAGUAUCGCGAUAUAACCUUGUGAAUAUCAUUGAUUCACCUUGCACUCUUUUCUUACUGGUACUGUUUAUAGUUUUCUAGUAUCUUUAGGUAGAACAAGAAUACUAGUAUUCUUAAUUAAUAGUAGCAAUCUUGGGAGAGGAUGUGUAUGGCAAAAAGUAAGGGGGGAAAUGGGUUUCAGAGUUUUGCACGGCUUCAACUUGGCCUUAUUGGGGAAGCAGCUAUGGAAUUUCAUGAGUAAUCCUGACGCACUGGUUACACGUAUCUUUAAAGCCCGAUAUUUCAGUGAUUGUCAUUUAUUGAAAGCAAAGUGAGGUGCUGGUUCGAGUUUCUUAUGGACGGGCUUAUGGGAGACUAAAGAAGAGUUGUAUAAAGGCUAUAAAUGGGUUUUGGGUGAUGGAAUGGAUAUUGAAAUAUUUAGAGACCCAUGGUUACAGGGAAAAAGAGAAUUAUGUGUGGAAGACUACCAUGAUAACAAUGUCAGACCUGACAAAGUGUGCGCACAUUUCCGUUCUAAUACUAAAGAGUGGGACGAGCAUAAGGUAUGCCAAACUUUUCUCGAUGAUGAUGUUAAAUGCAUUCUUCAGACUAGAGUUCCUCAAAUUGGAAAGAAAGAUAGGGUGGCUUGGAUGGCAACUGUUGAUGGUAAGUACACUGUUAAGUCUGGGUAUCAUUACUAGUAUGACAAAAGUGGGAAUAUGGCCUCUGUUAUUGAGUGGAAUAGGUUAUGGAAUCUUGAUCUACCACACAAGAUCAAGAUAUUUAUAUGGAGGUUUUGUAGAAAUAACCUUCCUGUUAGAAAUUUGCUGAGAUGUAAAAGGUGUGUAUCCCAAUUUUAUGUCCAACGUGCAAUGCGGAUGAUGAGCAUUUACUUCACUUAUUUUUUGACUGUGGCUACGCUAAGAAAUGUUGGGAGGAAGCUGGUUUGAGCUAUGAUAUGAGGACAGUGGAGGAUGCUUUUCAUUGGCUCCUUGAGAGGUUAAGUACUGAAAUGAGCGAAAAGUUGAUUAUCAUAACAAAAGUGCUAUGGGGCAUCUGGUUUGGUCGUAAAAUGAAAGUGUGGGAUUCAAAUAGGGGUGACAGUUUUAUCCGACCCGAUGGAUACUCGACCCGUUCCGACCCGAUUGGGUCUACCCGAACCCGAUAUAGUUGGAUCUGGAUCCGGAUCUGGAUCUUAUUUUCAGACCCGAAAGAGUUUGGAUCUGGAUCUCAUAUAUUCCGAACCGAGAACCGACCCGAAACCCGAUUUAAACCUGAUCCGAACCCGAAACCCGAUAAAAACCCGAUACAAAAUAUUUUUAUAUAUAUAUAUAUAUAUAUAUAUAGGAGGAAGAUCCUAAGAAAACCCAGCUUAUCAAGAAAACUGAGAAACCCACUUAAUCACCGUUCAUCUCAUAAUCAUAAUAUUUAUCAAAAUAUCAAUCAAAUCUAAUUUAUAAAGGAUAGUAUAGUAAUCUUCUACAUACAUUUAAUGCAUUCAAUAAAUACAUGCAUUUAAUGCAUUCAAUCAGUACAUUUCUUUCUUCAAAAAGAUUUGUCUAAGAUUUGCUUCAAUAUUCACGCAUUAUCCAUACUGCAUCAAUCAAGCUCACAUAUAAGGAUUAAAUUAGUAAAAUAUAAAUAUUAUUUAACUAACAUAAAUAAUAAGAUAUGCAAUUAAUUGAUUUCUUUUUUUUAUAUUAUUUAUAUCUCAUUAAUAGUCAGAGCAUUUAGUGUAUAUUAAAUUUGAAUUUCAAAUUUCAAAAUUUCUAAGUUUCACCGUGAGAAAUAGAAAAGAUAUAAUAACAUUUUUUUAGCAUUUAUUUUUAUUUAUAAUUUUUUGACGUAAGAGGUUUCUUAAAGUAUUCCUUUAGAUAUUAUUAUAACUUUUGUAUUCGUAUUCUUUUAUAUUAAUUGGUUUAAGAUUUUUCGAAAUAAUAAUUAAUAAAAAUAUUAAAAGAGUCAAAAGAAUAUCAUACAGUGAAUAAUUUAUACAAGAAAAAUCUCAAAUUUUAAAAGAAUCUUGCAUGACACAAAUAUUUAUUAUUAAAAAUAAUAAAAUAUCUUAGAGAAUCUUUAAAAUUUUAUUAUUUAAGAUCAUAUUCUAAAAUACAUUUAGAUAAGAUAUUUUCAUAGGUAUUAUCAUGUGUACGAAAUUACUCAACAAAAUCAGAUCAAAUAUUUUCUCAUUAACUAUAGGAGAGGUAUUUCAGUUUUAUUAAUAUAACAUAUAUGAUAAAUGUCAUUUGAAUGUAAUUGGAUUCCUUCAAGUGUUUAUAUUCAAAGUAAUAAAAUAUAACAAGAUUUCGUUAAGUGUUUUGAUGCAUAUUUUAAAAGAAUAUUGCAUGGCACAAAUAUUUAUUAUUAAAAAUAAUAAAAUAUCUUAGAGAAUCUUUAAAAUUUUAUUAUUUAAGAUAUUAUUCUAAAGAGCAUUUAGAUGAGAUAUUUUCAUAGGUACUGUCAUGUGUAGGAUAUUACUCAACGGAAUCCGAUCAAAUAUUUUCUCAUUAACUAUAGGAUAGGUAUUUCAAUUUUAUUAAUAUAACACAUAUGAUAAAUGUCAUUUAAAUGUAAUUGGAUUUCUGCAAGUGUUUAUAUUCAAAGUAAUAAAAUAUAACCAGAUUCCAUUAAGUGUUUUGAUGCAUAUUUUAAAAGAAUCUUGCAUGACACAAAUAUUUAUUAUUAAAAAUAAUAAAAUAUCUUAGAGAAUCUUUAAAAUUUUAUUAUUUAAGAUCUUAUUCUAAAGAGAAUUUAGAUAAGAUAUUUUCAUAGUUACUGUCAUGUGUAGGAAAUUACUCAACGGAAUCUGAUCAAAUAUUUUCUCAUUAACUAUAUGGUAGGUAUUUUUUUUUUUUGAAGAUGAGAAUAAAUCUCACAAAUAUGAAUCGGCAAUUCACUGUGAUAAUUCUUUCAUUCAACAAAGCUUAUCAUCUAACCGUCGGAUAUGCAAGAUGACCGGGGAAAUUUAGACAAUAAAACUUUAAUGUCCGAAAAGAAAAACCCGUCUUCUUCCAAGAAUCCUGAAAAUUAAAACGAAGGAAAUAAAAAGAAUCUUGCAUGACACAAAUAUUUACUAUUAAAAAUAAUAAAAUAUCUUAGAGAAUCUCGUACAUAUAUUCCAAAAAGAUUUUGUAUGGUCAUGUUAAUGAUUAGAUAUUUAAGAUUCGAUUAAGUGUUUUAAUAUCAAAUUACUAAAUUAAAUAUUAAGCAUUUAUGAUACUAAAUGCUUUCUAUUUAAUGUUUUAAUUAAUUAUUUACUAUUGGAUAAAAAGUAAGAUUUUGACAUGUUAACUUCAUUAGUAAAAUGGUAAUGGAACCUUAAUAUUUUAACUUCAUUAGUAAAAUGGUUAAUAGAAUCUUAAUAUUUUAACAUCAUUAGUAAAAUGGUGUUAAACAUCUUAACAUCAUUAGUAAAAUGGUUAAUAAAAUCUUAAUAUUAAUCUUUCACUUAUCACAAAAAUAAAAAAAAUUAUAAUACAUCAUGUUUUUUUGUAAAAUAGUUAAAAAAAAUAAUUAAAGCAUUAAACAAAAAUUAUUUAAUAUCCUACCAAAUGUUCGUAAAAUCUAUUAAUUUUUUAACAAAUAAUAGUAUUAAAAUAUUAUCAUUAAACAUUCUUAUUAACAUCUUAUAAAAUAUACACGUUCUUUAAUUAACAUAAAUAAUAAGAUAUACAAUUAAUUGAUUUCCUUUUCUAUAUUAUUCAUAUCUUAAUUAAUCAGUGUGUAUUCAGUUUGAAUUUCAAAUUUCAAAUUUCAAAAGAUUCAACUUGAUAAAUAGAAAAGAUUUAAUGAUAUUAUUUUAGCAUUUGUUUUUAUUUAUGAUUUUUGGAUGGAGGAGGUUUCUUAAAGUGUUCCUUUAGAUAUUAUUAUAAUUUUUGUAUUGGGAUUCUUUUAUAUUAAUUGGUUUGAGAUUCUUCAAAGUAAUUAUUAAAAUUAUUAAAAGAGUCACAAGAAUAUCAUAAGGUAAAUAAUUUAUACGUGAAAAAUCUCAAAUUUUAAAAGAAUCUUGCAUUGCACAAAUUUUGUUAUUAAUUUUUUUUAGAGAAUCUCGAAUAUAUAUUCUAAAAGAAUAUAGUAUGGUCUUAAUUUAAUAUUAAAAUUAAGAUUCUAAAAGUUUUAUUAUCAAGUUUUCUCUGAAUAAAAGAUUCUACUAGAAGUUUUCUCUGAAUAAGCAUAACUAGAACACAAACUAGAACAUCCAUAAACAACUAGAACACAAACUAGAACACCCAGAAACUAACUGAAGAACAACUUCCACAAGAACCUAGUAUUCUAAGCAAACAUAACUAGAACACAAACUAGAACACCCAAAAAUUAACUCAAGAUUAACUUCCACCUUAGUAAAGAACCUAGUAUUCUAAGAAGAUCAUCUAGUAUUCUAAGAAGAUCAUGUGGAAUCCUCGAAACUUUCCCUCUCCAAGAGAUUCUGAUCAACAUCCAUCAAGUCUUUACUCGCGACGUAGAAACAGGAAAUCGAAGAAUCAAAAAGUAGGACCUCCGAGGAAAACAAAAGCUAUUAAGAACAUAGGUUAGCAUUCUCCGAAAUGUUUGGAUCAUGGAGAUUCUUGAGCAUUCUAUCCUCAAGAACAUCCUGAGCAUUUUAUCCUCCAGACUUGGGAACUCACAGAUGAACCAAUUUUCUCAUAAAUCAAUCUUCCGCCUCGUUCUUCUUCUGCCCAACUUGAAAUUGUUGACUCGAUUGGUUUGUACGACUUGAAAUUAAAAAAACUCAAAGGUUGAGGGUACUCCUUGAUGUUAAAAAGUAGAACCUUUUCGAAUCCAAUCUCCACAACCCAUUGCCUUUGUGCAUCUGAAAGAUUGUUCACGAUUCUUUUUAAGAAGAUAGGUUUGGCUCAAACCAACAAACGGUCGGUGUUCUCAUGGAGAUUCUUCUCCACCAUUAUAUCUCUGAAAAUGAAGCGAGGCUAUUUUGCGAUAGUUUGAAAAGGAAUACAAGAGUCACAACAAUUAAAUGAUAUGAAAAAGAUUUAAGAUCGAUGAGAAUGAUAUGUCGUACAAACCUUCGAUUGAUGAAUCAUAGUGUUUACACGACCUCGUAGUUUUCUCCUGCUUACAAUUCUAGUGGUUCUUCAUCACAAUGUAUACAUGUAAUGAUCUGAUAUGUAAAGAUUUGUGAUUAAUUUAUGUGCUUUGAUUGGAUUUUGGCAGAUGCCAAAAUUAUAAAAUUUCUAAUUAAUCAAAAAUAGAUUCCUUACGAUUUUGCCCUUGUGUGUGUUAGAUUUUGAUAUUUUUUGAUUGGAUUUAAUUUGGGAAAUGAUUAUAUAUGACAAAAAUAAUCAACGGCAUCUAAGAGGGUUUUUCAGUUUUCUUGAUAAUUUGGUUUUCUCUGGAACCUCACUCAUAUAUAUAUAGGCUCAUGAUCAAAUAGAAACCACUCUUAAAAUAAAAACUAGAAACCAGUUUCCCUACCACUAUUUAUAACUACGGGUAUCACUAAUUUAUACUGCACUAAUCACUGUUUUUAUAGAGUAUGUAAACAGCGAUUUUUAUCAUCAAAAUUGAGAAAAUUUACUUAUCUAAAUUAUUGAUAAUCGAUUAUAGAUGAUUAAUUUCAUCCGUAGGAAGGUUCUUGGUGGUAGGAAGCCGCAAUAGAAGCUGUAUGAUGAUGGUAAAAUAAUCGUUAGUUUUGUAAGUUAUGAUGGAAAGUGUAUGUGACUAUUGGUGAUGAUAGAACAAUGGUGGCAAGUUAUAANNNNNNNNNNNNNNNNNNNNNNNNNNNNNNNNNNNNNNNNNNNNNNNNNNNNNNNNNNNNNNNNNNNNNNNNNNNNNNNNNNNNNNNNNNNNNNNNNNNNNNNNNNNNNNNNNNNNNNNNNNNNNNNNNNNNNNNNNNNNNNNNNNNNNNNNNNNNNNNNNNNNNNNNNNNNNNNNNNNNNNNNNNNNNNNNNNNNNNNNNNNNNNNNNNNNNUAUAUAUAUUAUGUUUCAUGUAAAGUAUAUAUUCUUUCUUAAAAUUUUAGUUGUUAUGAUAUUAUAUAUUUUAUAAAUUGAUAGUAUAAAUGAUAAAUAUUUUUAUUAUCUAUUUGUAUAUCCUUUUAUAAUAUUAAUAUGUAUAUGCUUUUAUAAAAAAAUAUAGAAUAAUCUAUUAUUCUAUAUGCUUUAAUAAAAAAACAUAAAAAUAUCUAUUUUUUAUAUAUUUUUAUAAUAUUUUCAAUAUCUAUUUGUAUGUUUUUUUUAUAAAAAAACUUGAAAAUAGAAAGGAUUACCUAAUAACUUUCAAAUUAUAAAUAUAGCUCAAAAUUUAUUAUUUAUAAUUUAAAUUCUAAUAAAUUGAAAUUUGAUUAAAUUAUAUUAACCUACUCAUAUAUUUUUUCUUAAAAUUUUAGCUGUUAUGAUAUUAUAUAUUUUAUAAAUUUAUAGUAUAAAUGAUAAAUAUUUUUAUUAUCUAUCUGUAUAUACUUUUAUAAUAUUGAUAUGUAUAUGCUUUUUUAAAAAACAUAGAAUAAUCUAUUAUCUAUAUGUUUUUAUAAAAAAAACUUAGAAAUAUCUAAUUUUUAUAAUAUUUUUAAUAUCUAUUUGUAUUUUUUAUAAAAAAACAUGAAAAUAGAAAUGAUUACCUAAUAACUUUCGAAUUAUUAUUUCUCAGAACCUCUAUUAUGUUACACAUCAAAUAGAUGAUACUACUAUGUACAUCUAUUUUGAAUUAAAUAUCAAUUCAAUUCUAUACAGCACUUGUGUAAUGUACAAGCAGUUUUCUUUAAACUUCAGUUUUACAACUAUAUCCAAAAGUCCACUAAAGAUGUUAAAAUAUGUGUUGCCAUCAUGACAGCACAUCUCCGGAGGAACUUUUUGACGAAGUGUGAGUUCUUUUUAGAUUUAAAAUUUAACGUCUAUGUUAUUUUCCAUAUCAAGUUUUUUGCUUAUACUAAUAUUUGAGCAUAUAUAUAUAGGUUGACAUAAGUGAAUUAUUUACAGCACUAUAUUGUGAGGAUCAUUCUUGUCCCUUAGGAAAAAAAAUUGUUUGUAUAUUUUUAAUAGAGAAUCAUGACUAUAAGACUAUCAGUUGCAUGGAGCACUGGACUGUUUUUUUUUUUCAAUUUGUGAUGCCAGAGACAUAUAUAUCCUUGGAAUAUGAAAUAUAAUCUGCGGUACUUUAGGCAAGUGAUAUAAGUAAAAUAGUAAUAGUGCUAUUCUAAAUUCCUUUAAGUUGGCUUACAUAAUACUACUGCUUAAUUUGACAGAGUGCAACUUUUCAUUUCUUCGAACCUGCUAAACUAAUUCUUAUAAAGGGAAAAACUUGAGAAAAAGGACAUCAAGAGGCUUACUAAGUCCUAACUAUGCCUUACAUUUGAAGACCUUAAAUAGAAAUGUUUUUCUUCACCUUAUGUAUAUUCUCUCUCUGUAUACACAUGAUAUACACACUUGAUUAAAGUUUGGUUUGUUUAUUCACUAAUUUAUAAUCUAGAUGAAUAUAACCAAUCGGUUAAUAAAAUUUUAUACAAUUUUAUUUAAUUAAUAAUAAAACGCUAAUAAAAGGAUAUUAAGUUUAUAAAUAAUAAAAUUAAAAAAAUAUGGUCGCCCGUGCGAAGCACGGGUUAUAGGCUAGUAUUAUACUAAUAAGGGAACUAGUACUUAAACGAAGAAGAAGAUUACUGUUGUGUUUGGUUGAGGUGAAUGAAAAUGGAAGGAAUGGAAUAAGAUUUGAACUAUAAUUUAGUUGAAUGUAUAGUAAUUUCAUUCCUUCUACCAUUCCAUUCUUAUCACUCUUAACUAAAGCUCCAACUCUCCAUUUUGUGAAGGAAUGAUCCAUUCCUUAUCAUACCUAUUUUCUACCCAAAUCUUAUCAUACCAAAUUUGCUCUCAUUCAUUUUUUUCAAAGUCCUUCAUCCUACACUCUAUUAUUUUCUUUUAUUUUUACUCAUUCCAUUCACCCCAACUAAACAUAACAGGUCGACAAGGGUGAUGGAUAAUAAACAUAAACUAAUCUAACAGAAACACACACGAUUAUGAAAACUACAGCAAUUACUAGAUAGUAGUAAACUUGGAGAAGGCCCGGCUCGUUGAAUAAAGAGGCCCUGUGCUAAAUGUGGAUAUUGGACCCUUAUUAUCAAAAAACAGAAUAUUCAAUGAGGCCUCUGCUAAAUGUGUAUAUCGGGCCCUUAUUAUUGAAAAACAGAUGCACAAUUCAAUUAGCCACUAAACUGGAACACGUUAAUUGAAUGGAAAGAUAUAAUCAUGUUCAUUGAAAUAGAAGCUUAAAUUUUUGUAAGUCGAAGCUGAGAGAGAGGAAUACAGGACAAAAUCAUCAGACUCUGCAUCUUGAUUUUGUAUUAGUUAAGGUUUUAUUUUUUUCUUAUAGCGUUUUGUUUCGAUGCAGACAUACUGUAAUGGGCCUGAACUAUAAAACUCAGCAAUGGAUGCAAGUCGGAAAAACAGAAGUCUACACAGCAACGCAACUUGAGGGAGGAUUUUAAUUGAAAAACUAAACUUACAGCUCAGCAAUAUUUACAGUGAUGAAGAAGAUACAUACUUGUUUGUGAAAAGAGAGAAAAUGAAAUAUGGACUUAGAGCAUCUACAAGAGGCUCUUCAUUUAGGCUCCUAACUUGAUAUUUGAGGAGGGAGAAGCAAAAUGUUGCUCCAAGAGACUCUUAAGUGGCUCUUAAAUCUUAAGAGCCUCUUGUUUCUCUCUCCUCUCUCCUCAAAGUUAAGAGCCACCACAUGGCUCCUAACUUAUUUUUUCACAAUAAAAAAAUCCUUCCCUCCAAUCAACCUCCAUCUUUCCCUCUCUUUUGUUAUAGUGGAGCCCAAUAUAUGAAUAAAAUAUGAAAUAGAGAAGAGAUGUAGAGAGUAUUGUUGGAGUUUACACUCUUAACUUUGUCCUAAAUUACUAAGAGCCACAUUUUUUAUAUUAUAUUUAGGAGCCAACAAGGAGGCUCUUGGAGAUGCUCUAACAAGUUAGCUAUGACCCUAACUAUCUAUUUAUAUAGAUACAGCUCGUAGAAUAAUGUACUACUCCCUCCGUCCCCCUCAAUUGUUUACAUUGGAGGGGGACACGGAGACCAAGACAAUGUAUGAAAAAUGAGUAAAGUUAGAUGAAAAGUGGGUAAAAUGGUGGGACCCAUCAAUAUUUAAUAAUAGAUUUGAGAUAGUGGAGGAAAGUAGUGGGUGUAAUAGUAGUUUUUAUUGUUAAAUAUGAGAUAGUGGGGGAGGAUAGUGGGUGUAAUGAUGGGAAAAACUUAUUAUUUAUAGUAGAGUUAAUUGCAAUUGGCACCCCUUUGGUUUCGGCUUAUUGCACAUUGCACCUAAUAGUUUUGGAAAAUACACUUUGCAUCCCCAGACUUUUAACCCGUAGACACUUUGCACCCUUUCCGUUAAAUUCUACCGUUACCGUUAACUUUUGCAGGGGCAUUUUGGGAAAUUUAAUUAUAUUUAAUUAAAAUCAAACCUUUAUUUAAAUUUUUUGAUCAUCUAAACGAUAUUUUUCGGAAAAAUUUAAAGAACGAAAGUUGUAGAGAAUAAAAAGAUCUUCUUAGAACUAUAAGGUUCAAAACUUUCGUAAUUCUUUUUAUAAUUAUUUUUAAAAAAAUUCAAAAAUUAGCAAUCUUGUAAAAAUGAACAAUCGUUUUUAAAUAAUUAUUUAAAUUUUGAACCUUAUUGUUCUAAAAAGAUCUUUUUAUUCUCUACAACUUUCGUUCUUUAAGUUUUUCCGAAAAAUAUCGUUUAGAUGGUCAGAAAAUUUAAAUAAAAGUCUGAUUUUAAUUAAAUAUAAUUAAAUGUCCCAAAAUGCCCCUAAAAAAGUUAACGGUAACGGCAGAAAUUAACGGAAAGGGUGCAAAGUGUCUACGGGUUAAAAGUCUGGGGCUGCAAAGUGUAUUUUCCAAAACUAUUAGGUGCAAUGUGCAAUAAGCCGAAACCAAAGGGGUGCCAAUUGCAAUUAACUCUUUAUAGUAACGUAAAGAAAUGAGAGGGAAAUCCCAAUAUAGUAACUGUAAAGAAAUGAGAGGGACAGAGGGAGUAUCAAAUAUUUAGCCGCCGCUUGUCUUACAAAUGGUUACAAUGAUCCGUACUAGGACGCUAAUAACAGAUUUUGUCCUGUUUGCAGACUAGAGACUGUGAAAUUCAGAGUUUGUCCCUUAACGUACAGAUUCCUCGUACACUUUGUUAUGCCCAGAAUUUGAAGUUAUUUUGUUAGGAUGGAUUAUAAUCCCAAUAGAACAAAGACGAGUGUAUACUAGUAAAUUUAUGUUACAUUGGCACAUACAAUUGGAACCAUGCACAAGAUGUGUUCUGCGUACAAGGCUGUAAAAUUUUACAUGACGGGGCGAUAGUGAUACAUGCAAACGCCUUCAUAAUCCUUCUGCUAAGAAUUGAAUCAUCAAUCUUCAUUAAGUUAGUGCUUGAGUUAUUCAUGCCUAUAAAUAUUAUAUUUUAUAUAUAUUAUGAUCAUUCCAUGGAGUAACUCUCGACUGAACUCGGACGAAUACCAUCUUAAAAUUAAUUUUUAUAGUAUUAAUAAUACUAGCCUUUAACCCGUGCAAAGCACGGGCGACUAUAUAAUUUCAAUUUUAUUAUUUAUAAGUUUAAUGUAUUUUAUUAAUAUUUUAUUAUUAAUUAAAUAAAAUUUUAUUAAAUUAUAUAUACCUACUGGUUAUAUUCAUUUUAGAAAGUUUGUCUUGUACAAUAUUUUUCUAUAUUAUAACACAUUAGUAUAAAAAAUUAAUAUUUUUAUUACCAUAUGUGAUUUUUUUUCUUAAUAUUAAUAUAUGAUAAUGUGUUUUUCAUUAAUAUUAUUUCAUAUUUUGCAUAUUUCAUUGCAUAGCCUAGGUGACUAUAGUAUUCUAAAAAAUUUAGUUAUAUUAAAAUAUUGAGAUAACAUUUUAAGUUAUUGGAAAGAAUUUAUUCAUUUAUAUAUUUUAGGUAUUAAAAUGUUUUUGUUUGAGACGUGUUAAUUAGUGUAAUGUGUCCUGACAUUCUGAGGCCUUUUUUAGAUAGCUUAAGUUGGUAGGUACUGCAGUAGGGAUGAUCAAAAUCGAACCGAAAAUCGAAACCGAAACUAUGAAAAUGGGGACAAAACCGCACCACAAAAAACCGAACCAAUUAAUAACUGAACCGAAUAAAAACCGGACCACUAAUAUAGUUCUAUAUGCGGUUUGAUUUUGAAAUUUUUAAAACUGAAUACAAACCAAACCGAACCAGAAAAAAUUAAUUAUAUAUAAUUUUCGAAUUAUGUAUAUUAAUAUUUUAAUUUAAUUUUAUAGACCAUCAUAUAAUCGUCCCAUAUAUUAUGGGAUGUUUAAUUCUUUUUCUGCUUUACUUCGCCGACAUUUAAGUUUUUUUAUAUGCUAAAACAGAAGGCGACAACUAAACUGGUAAGUGUUGCACAGUGCACAGGUUACUUCAAUAAACAUUAUAAUAUCUUUCAUUUCGUAGUAGCAUUAAAUAUAAAAACUUCACCGUAUUAAAGUACUCGUGAAUACGAAUCUAACAAGAUCACUCAUGACUAUAUUUAGUUUUAUAGAUUAGAUGUAAAUUAGUAAUUUGUCUCAUGUUAUGAACAGUACCGACAUUACAAAUAGGAAAAGAAAAAAGAUACGGAGGGAGUAGUAAUUUAUAUGAGAUACUUGUGAGGGUGUUUGCCAUAGCUCAUGUAUAUAUUAUUUUAUAUAUUUAAAUUAUUUUAAAUUAUAACGUUAUUUAUAUAUUCAUAUCGUAUUUUAAUAAAUAUAUUAAAAAAUUAUAUAUUUGGUUUUGAAACCGAAACCGCACCAUUUAAAACCGAAUUCAAAAAACCGAACCGCACCAUUUAUAUAUAUGCGUUUGGUUUUGUGUUUUAAUUUUACAAACCGAAAACCGCACCGAACCGCACCAUACUCAUCCCAAACUGCAAGUGCUGAUUUUUUCUCAUCUAUAUCUCAAUGAACAGUUGUUCAGAGACAGUGAAGACAAGGCUUGGUAAUGUACAUAUAUUAAGCAUGCAAGUUGUUGAGUGGCUAAGAUGAUGUAGAUGCACGCACAACACAAGUUCUGGUCAUCCCACAUCUGAUGCACAUGAAGAUCUACUACUGCACAUAUGUGGUUGGGUUAUUGAUGUAGUUAGAAGAGUAUUGCAUCUUGCUACAAGGUUCAUAUAGCUGCAAUUGUUAAUAUUCUCUGCAGGGAAAUUGUAUUAAAUAGUAGGGCAUUCUGAUUGUGGUGAGGAUGUGUAGGGAUUAGAACAAGUCUUACAAAUUAUAUUGAGCUGCAGUCUCCUUAAAUUUUCUUACUGCAGCAGAACUAAGUUAAAGUUAAUAACUACAAGUAAUUAUUAUAGAAGUAGUAGGACACUUUCAAAAAAAUUGUGUUCCCCGGAAAGAUAACUGCUAAAACUGGUGAAAUUGUUACACAAGUGUUGUAUAGAAUUGAAUUGAAUUGACGGUAAAUUUAAAAUAGAUCUAGAUAGAAGUCAAUGGAUAAUGUAAGAUAAGCCGAAAGGCAUCCCAUCUGCUUCCAUGAAUGGCCUUUCUGAUAAAUCAACUUUUGCGAGUUCUGCAAGAGCAUUCAAAUCCAUUGAAAGCAAAGAUGCCUAAAAUUAUAGCAGAAAAGAAAGGAAGUCAAUGUCAUGUAAUAUGAAGCAGAGGAAAAUAAUGGAAGCUGCCUGAGUACUUAAAGCAAACAAAAAUAUCAACUAAUAUAGGAACAAAUUAGCUGAAUAAAACAAACAUACGAUCCUGAACCAUGGUAUGAAUAUAAAUACAAUGCUACCGGUUAUAUUGCAUAUUUUCCUUCUGCUUGUUUGAUAUUAUGCGUUCAUUUAAAGGUUCUUGGACUCCUUAACCACAUCUUUUCUUGUAUUACUAUUACAACACACAGUUCAGCACGACCUAGGGACAGGCAAAAUUGGGAAUCACCACAAUCAUCACAAUAUUAAACAAUCAUAUAUGCAUAUAUGUAGAAUGCUCCUUUAUUCUUAACACAAAUUCCUAAUUUCAAUCAAAUUGUGUCCCACAACAACUCUCCUAUCAAUCAUAUGAUAAAUACGACACUUCAGCAUCGACAAGAAGGAAUACAAGGGACAAAAAAUGGUUAAAAUAUAGAUCAGAUGGUUCUCCAGUAAGAGAACAUAGGUCACACCAUAAUAAUAUAGAAUAAAUAUAGACUAUAAUGAUAGUCAUGCACUUGUUUUUGCUGAAAUUACUAUUGUGCUGCAUCUGGUGCAUCAGUAACUGCUAUUCCUAUACCAGCUUUCUUCAGAAAGGGGGAUCAUUGACACAAUCUCUAGUCAUACCACAAAUAUGCUUCUUCUCCUGUAACUUCUUUACUAUUUCAUACUUGUGCUCACACUUAAAAAGGACCUAAUAAUAGCUAGACCAGAUGAAAUAACAAUACAAACCGACCCCAAGCAGCUGCAGUACUCUAUUAGUGCUUCAAAACAACAAAGAAAGAAAAAAAAGAGAAACAAAGAUUGUAUGUAUAGUAGAAAUCAUAGACAAGUAUAUCAUGAUCAACAGAUAAAACUUGCUCAAUCAGCUUUAUAAUAUAGUCUCACCAUAAACUCAAAAUCAACACUAUUUGUGGAUAUCCAGAUUCUUCACUCAAGUACAUCUCAAUUACUUUAUAUUCGUGUCGUAAAACACUCCUCCCUCUGUUUUCAAAAUAGAUGACGCUUAACUGGUAUCUAAUUCAAAAUCAAGUUUUUUUAAACAGAUAAAAUUUGCUCAAUCAGCUUUAUAAUAUAGUCUCACCAUAAACUCAAAAUCAACACUAUUUGUAGAUAUCCAGAUUCUCCACUCUUUUAACUGGGAUACGAAACAGUUCUGAUAUGGAACAAGAUAGACUACACCACCCCCCUUGGAUGUUCCCGGUUCUAAUUAAGCCUGAAAAUGGCUUUAUAUGACUUAUUUAGUUUGUGCACUGAAUUUGUGAUAUUUCUUCUUGAUUUGUAUGGUUUAUCCAAAUCUUACUUAUAUUUAAUUUUCCUGUUUGUUGCUGCAUUAUUACCUUGUAGGUUAAUUUUCUGCAGGCCAAUAACAAUCAUCAGCUUGCAAGGCCGCAAAGAAGGUGACAGUUCUUUUCAAUGUGGUUCUGACCGUCUCAUAGCUGAGUGAGUUGAUGUUUCAAACAACUCUCGGAUCAAACCUGGUCUGCAACAGUAAGACAUACACCUAAAAUAGCUGAAUCCCCGGCUUCCAUUCUAGGACAAGUACUUGAAGAAGAAUUAUCUUGGUAUUUAUUUAACUGCUGUUUUGUGUAAAAGCAUGUGAUAAUUUUUUUAGAACUUCCGACUAGUUGAACUGUCCUUAACAGGGCUAUGGAAGAAACAAAAUUUGUAUAAUAUUAAUGAAGUCUAGCACAAAAUAAUUGCAUUUCACAAGAAAUUUUACGUAGUAAGAUUUUAAUCAGGAUGCUAGCAAUUUAUUCAAUCAGUUUAGUAGUUUACUGUUAUAAAAGAAAAACCACAAAUACCAAACAAAUCACCUUAAAAUUUCAAGUUAAUAAUUAAUUAUGGAGUUUCAAAAAAUUAUAUUUAGAAUUUAAAAUUAUAGGUGGCAUGAUCAAUUAUUAAUUAUUGUAUACAGAACUAAAUCAGAAUAUUAUACUGAACUAUAUAUUUAAAUUUUAUAUGAUUUUUAUAUUGCUUUAGAUUAUAGACUAAUUCAUAAAUAAUAGUUUAUAAUGUUUAAUUUUAUAAUUAUCAUUUAUAUAUUAUUUUACUAUAUAUAUAAUUAAGACCAAUCUCUUUGCAUCAAAGGUGAUAUCGCUUUGUUUAUUCAUUCCUUUAAUUAUAUGUUACAGGGACAGCAGCACUGAUCUCUCCGUGAUCAUAGGGGCCAUGUAUGCAGCCGUAUUAUUUGUGGGAAUCAACAAUUGCUCAACAGUACAACCAAUUGUAGCAGUUGAAAGAACAGUAUUUUAUCGCGCAAGAGCAGCUGGGAUGUACUCUGCAAUCCCUUAUGCCUUAUCACAGGUAGUUUAUCGAAAUCUCUCGAUAUCAAUUUUCACUCAUCAAUAAAAUCUGUUCAGACCUGCUAAUCAAGGGCUUUCGUCGAUGCAGGUAUUUGUCGAGAUAGCAUAUGUGCUUGUCCAAACCAUAUACUACACUCUUAUAGUGUAUGCAAUGGUGUGCUUCGAAUGGACAGCUGCAAAAUUCUUCUGGUUCUUCUUCAUAACAUUUUUCUCCUUCCUCUACUUCACAUACUACGGAAUGAUGAUUGUGUCAAUCACACCAAACCAGCAAGUAGCCGCCAUUUUUGCAGCUGCAUUUUACGCGCUCUUCAAUCUGUUCUCCAGUUUCUUCAUCCCCAAACCAGUAAGUCACUUCCACAUUUAUCCUCUAAAAAUUCAGAAUAUCAAAAGAAAAAAAAAUCUAAGUCUGCAUUUUCUUGUUUUAUAAAAAUUACCAGAAAAUUCCUAAGUAGUGGAUAUGGUACUACUACCUCUACCCCGUGGCAUGGACUGUCUACGGAAUAAUAGUAUCACCCUAUGGCGACGUAACAGACACCAUCACAGUUCCAGGAAUGUCGACUAAACCAACCAUCAAAUGGUACAUAAAUGAUCAUUAUGGGUAUGAGUCGGAUUUUAUGGCGCCAGUAGCUGUGGUAUUAAUUGGUUUUACAGUCGUUCUUGUAUGCUUACUGCCUUAAAACAUUGAAAUUCCUGACAAAGUAGAGGACUGAAGAUCAGAGGGAGGUCUGUGAGUGUAGUAUAAUGGAGAAAUUGGACAGCAUGAAGAAGAAUAGUACUAAUGGUAAGAAAGAUUAUGACGGGGAUGAGGGUGUGGAGAGAAGGAGGGCAAGGAGAGAGAGGUCGAAGUUGAGGACAAAGAAAACGGAGAAUGGUAUUAAUGGUGGUGUAACUGUAUGUACUUCUGAUGAAAAAGUGAUUGAUAGUGCUGGGAAGAUGUACUGUAGUAAAUACUAACAUAAGAUUUUAGUUUCUACAGACCAUAACAAUAAAGUUUUUCAAUCAAGACAAAUAGAACCAAUUACCUAAUCCGACUUCCUUCCAUCAUCACUCACGACGCUUGUACGAUGAAUGCUUCCUAGCACCCCUUGCAUUCUCAUACUCAAAUUUCAACACAUGUGGUACAUGUGAAGUAUCCUUGACAUUGUUGUUGAGUCGCUCGACUAGUCGCGACUAGUCGUCGACUAGUCGAGUAGUCGGUGUGCAGGGCUCGACUGGGAUGGUCGACUAGACAGAUGUAAGUAUUUCGCCCGACUUAUGACUGACUGGUCGACUGGGUCGACUAGUCGGGUCGACUGGAAGACCCAGUCGGUCGACUAGUGUUCAAAUUCUAAAAAAAAUCAAAAACCCAGUUGUAUCAAAACCUAAAAACAAAAGCCCAGCAGCCUCCAGUCGAUUCCAAGCAGUCUCAGUCACUUCUAACAUCGAUUGAAUCGAUUCCAGUAGCUUUGUUUACUCUGUUAUUACUUACAUUUACACACACUCUGUUAUUACACACACUUGCACACUCUAUAAUCAGUAGUCACUAGUUGCAAUAGGCAUUGUUUAAUGCCAGUACACACACACAGAAUCACAGUUGCUUUGUUUAAUCUGCAGAAUGGCUGAUGCAUCGAACAAGGCUGUUUAUGCAUAAUUAAAAAGUGAGAAUGUAGAAGUUAGAACAGACAUAUAUAAUUUAUUACACAUAUAAAUAUAAGUAUAUAUAAUAUAUAAUAUUAAUUUUAUACCUUGUCGACUAGUGUCGACUAGUCUACGACUAGUCUCGACUAGUCACGACUCGACUUGCCGGAGAGUCUAGUCGACUCGACUCGACUUACCGACUUAACAACCAUGAUCCUUGAAAUAUAACACGCUCCCAAUUGGACUCUCUUCAAUCAUAGGAAAAUAUAAUUAACAAUAUAAAACCAACCCCCGUCAAGCAAAGCACCCAAUGUAACACCCUAAAACACCUGUACAACAGUAUAAGAACUAACUCUCAUCAAUAACCUCUAAUAUCAAACUUGAAAAGUACCGACUUCAAGGAGACUUCUACACAGCCUAGUUGAACUGACCUUAAGAGGGCCCUAAUUACGUGCUAAGAAUAACUAACUCUCAUAUCAAACUUGAAAAGGCAUAAUCAAAUUAUCAUAUUCAUAGGUAAUUAUCAAAUUAUCAUAGGUAAUUGUAUCUAAAGCAACAAUUAAAACUGGAUAAACAAAAAACCAAAUAAAUAAGUGAUUACCUCCUUGGACUGUAUGUGAAGAUACGAAGCUCUCCCCGAUAUGGAGACGGAGACAGAGGGCGAUGAAGACAGGGACAGAGAGCGAAGGUGAGUGUAUUGGUGAAUGUGAUGGAGAGGGAUACUGAUACUUGUAUCCUGUUCUAUUUGUUUUUGAUACUUCUAUCCUGUUCUAUUUGUUUUUGUUUUAAAAAGCAAGACUUGAAUUGUUCGUUAUUCUCAGCAGGGGUAAUAUAGGGUAAGCGACGAAACGAAACUAAAAGACUAAACCAAAAAUUUUGUACGAAAAAACAACGACCAAACCAAAAAUUGUGAAGGAAAAGUAGGACUACAAAUUAUACCCAUCUUGGCUUUUUAUAGUAUAGUAUAGAUUGAGAUUUUAAAAUUAUAUAAUCUGAAUAAUCGUAUUAUAUAUCAUUUUAAAAUUUUCAAACAAUAUAAAAUACAAAAUAAUUGCAAAAGAAAUAACUCGGUGUCCGUCCCGGACUCUAAACUAGAAUAAAUUUAAUAUAAAAUCCAUAAAUAUUAUAUUUAAAAUUAUGAUCACUAAUGGAAGGAAAAUGCUAGAUGGGGAUGGGCAUUUUACCGCCCCGCUCGACCUCAAUCCGAUUCCAGUCACGUUCGUAUCGGGGGAGCGGGGACUUUUUUGGGUAAAGGAUGGGGGAUCGGGGGAAGUUUAUUAAAUAUUCGGGGAUCGGAAAGGGUUCGCAUAUUGUCUCCCCAUCCCGAUGAGCCCAAAAACUCCUCAAUUUUCAUAUAUAAUAUAAAUAUUAUAUUUAUAUAUUAUUAUAAUACUACUUAUUAAUUAUAAAUAUAUAUUAUAUAUAUAGUUUAAAUAAUCUUCAUCAUUUUAUUAUUUAAAUGUAUUCAUAUUAUAACAUAAAUUAAUUAUAAUAAAUAUAGUUAUAUCUUCUAAUUUUUUGUGUUAGUUUAAAUUAAUACUCAAAAUGCUACAUAAAAGUAGAAACCUAUUAUGUACAAUGACAUAUUAAUACAAUUUUAAAUUAGAAUUUAUAUUAUAAUAUUUUUAAAAAAAUUAAUGAAUUCUCCAAAUCCCACAUUCAGGGCGGGGAUCGGGGAGCAAACGAAUUCCGUUCAGAAAUUGAGGCGGGUUCGGAGAUCGGAGACGGGGAUAACAUUCCGCGACUCGGAAGUGACCCAAAGCCCGUCCCUAAUGCUAGAUAUCCUAAAAAGGUGUUGCCAAAUCAUUAUCCCAAAUAUAGUUAACGACCUUCAAUAAUAAUAAAUGAUCUACAUAAAUCACCCAAUUAAAAUUAUUCAUAUGUUAUUUGAAAAAAUUUCGAUUCAACCAAAAAUAAGAAGCAUGAGAAAAAGUAAAACUCCAAGUCCUCUCGUUUAAGAGCCAUUACAUGACUCUUAUAUUACUCUUUUAUAAUAAAAUUCAUUCUCUCCCAUUUGAAUUUGAAUUUUUGUGAUAAUGGAGUUCAAAUAUGAAUAAAAUAUAAUGUUAGAAGUGAGUAUAAAGAGCAUUAGCGGAGUUUAUCAUUACACGACUCUUAAUUUAUUUUUAUAAUAAAGUAUCCAUUCCCUCUCAUUUGAAUUUGAAUGUUUGUCACAGUGGAGUUCAAAUAAAAAUAAAAUAUAAUGUUAGGAAGGUAUAUAAAGAUUCACACUCUUCAUAAUGUAUUAAUUUACUAAUAACUUAACAUUUUAUAUUAUAUUUAAGAAUAACCAGGAGCUUAUUGGAAAUGCUCUAACACAAGGAACCGAAUCCAACAGUUUCGGUUCGGGUCUUUCUACAGCGUUUUUUAUCCUUCUUGCACAAGAUCAGACUACUGAAACGAUGUGACAUGCUUGAAUGUAGCAACACAAGUACAUGCACCCAAUUGAACUACUGUGGAUAUUACAAAAACCACAAAGUCAUAUACUACACUAAGGAAGCAAUUACAUCCUUUUACUACAGAAACUCUACCUACAAAGUUAUCUAAAUCAUUAAUAUAGAGCUCCUAACAAGUGACUAAAUCAAUUAAAGAGGGACAAUACAACUGCAUAUUGUUAAUCAGCUACAACAUUAAGUGACUAUGAAAUCACUAAACCAAUGCAUACAGCAAGACCACAGCUAUAUAUUAUCAAUUCGCAACCUUUCUGUGCCCAGCAAACCAUAUCGCACAAAAUGGCUCCAGAAAACAACAGUACUCGUUCUGAAACUAGUUUGAGAACGAGAACACACGCAACAAUUAAACAAACUGUUAUUAUGGUGAUCUCCUUCUUUUCCAGAUAUGCUUGCUCGCCUGCAACUUUUUCGAUAUCUAAUCUGCAAAUCAAGUUAAACAUAACAGGAUCAACACAUGCUUCAAAACAUCAGUUAUUAUGCCAAGUAUAUUAGUUUCAAGUCAAAAUAUCAGUUAUAAUGUGAGAUAUGUUACUUUUAAGUCAAAAUACAGGUUAAAUUUGUCCUGAGCAAAUUCAUGGAAUUUUAGAAUCUUGCAGAACUGACCAUUUGAGCAGGAAAAGAUAAACGUGUAUGAGCUUAUACGACUAGUACAUGUGCGUAUCACAAACCUCAAAUUAACAUUUUCUCUUAUCACUGAUUCCAGCUUCGACAUGACGCCACUUUUCCAUGAAUCAAUGUCAGCAACUUCUUUCUCCUGCAAAAUCAUAUGAAUCACAUUAAAAAUGACAAAGUUAACAUAAAUGGUUUACAUGCCAAGUGAAACUUAAAGAGUAAUGCAGAUGUGCACGCACCAUAAUCUCUUUCCAUUCUAAAAUAUCCUUGACCUCGAUUUUGCUCUUUUCCAACAGCUUUUUAUAGUCUGCAAUUUUUUUCUCCAGGUCAGGUAUAACCUCUGUUUGUCCAUUGUUUAAUCGUUUGAUGUACUCCUCCAAUGCGGAUAAAUUUGUUUCAAGUGACCUCACCUUCUGCAUUAAUAUUUUAAGAACGACAUCCCCGUGUAUUCUACCACUUGAUUGUUGUCUAACUUUGACUGUCGGAUUGACUAUAGGAUCAGGGAUGUUGCUUACUGUGACUUGAACUUUUGGUGCAUCAACUGUUGGCUUAUUCCCAUCAUCAGCCCCUUCUACCCCUUUACUUUUACUAGAGACAUCAACCGCCUGUUUAGCUUCACCAUCAACCUUUUUAUCAUUAACGCCUGAUUCUGGUUUUGCAGACAGAGUAAUAGUUGAAUUAGGUUUUGAUAAUUUAGUGGAAGCACUUUCCUCAGAUUUUACAAUGAGAUCUUCAAGCAUCUGCUCAAUUGCAUCAUCUCCAUACACUCCCACAAGACUCAACGUGCAGUAAAAUUCUGAUCCAUAAUGACUAAGCAAAUUCAGCUUUAAGUAUCUCACCCACUUUGGUUCAGGUAGCUUAAAACUUUGAGUAUGCUUCACAUUUGCUGCGACAAAGCUUCCCAAUGAGUACCAUAUCUCAGUUGGAUAAGUCAAACUACCAGACAAAUUAAACUCCUUAAAAUUAGAAGAAUAAUGUUCAAAAUUUGCAAUUUUGACAGCAUCUACCAGCGUCUCCUCAGCGAGUUCAAUGACAACAUAUUUCCCCCCAAUUGAACAAGGAUUUCUCAAAUAUUUAUCAUGGUCUUUCCCCAAUAUGUUGCUAGCUCCUUUUGCUUCCUUGUUGUGCGCAACCACCUUUGCACCCUUUGAAUCAGAGGCGUAGUUGUAUUCCGUCCCAUCAGGUUCAAGUCUAUGGGUAAUAUUAACGCGUGCAUUUGGUGUAGAGCCUUUUUCUUUCAUUGUCAUGUUUAGUGAUGCAUCAAAAGAUGCUUCAUAUGUUCUAGCAGUAUCAAAUUUUCCCGUUUUUGUAUAUCUAUCUUCAUCUUGCAGGUUAAGCUCACACAUCAACUCCCUAUACCCUAAUAUACUCUGGACUAAAUCUUUCCGACGACAUGUUCCCUGAGGUGAUUUCCUCGAAUUUGUAUUGUUAUGAUCCUGACCACUAGGUUUACUAAUAUUCAGAGGCACUUUAACUUCGAAAACUAAUUCUUGCUUAUAAUCAUCAUCCCUAUUUUCUACAAAAUCAUAUGCGAUGUCAGAAUGCUUGUCAUAAGAUAUACUUGAGUUAGUCAUGCUCCGAUUACUGGACUGUACAUUCCCUGUUCAAUACAAAUCUCAAUCACUACAAACUAUUACAUCCAAAAAAUCUAAAUACCAAACAAACAAUGAUCAUUUCAUUCAUAAUAAGUCUACAUAAUUUGACAUUACUACAAGGAACUCGCAUAAUUUCGACAGAAAAUCAUGAACCAUAUAUCCCACAAAUUCUUCCAGAAACAGAUUAACCCGCAAUAAAAAAAUCAAAAACACUAAAUUAAAUUCAAAAAAAAAUAAUCAAAAACCAAAGAGUGCCUAAAAUUUAACCCAAAGAUUCCAAAACCACUAAAAUUAAAUGCAUAAAAAUGGGUCUUAACUCACAAUAAAAAAAUGAAAACCACUAAAAUAAAAAAGUAAAAAGAUAAAAAAUUUACCUCCAUUACCGUAUGUAAGGCCAAGCUUAGAAUAAAACAAGAAAACAAGAAACCAAAAGGAGAUCAUUAAAGGCAAAGAAAGCUCAAACAAGCUCUUCUUCUCAAUGUCUUUUUGUGGGCCCCUUUUUCCAGACUUGAUGUAUAUGAGAUCACCGUUGUGGGUUUUCUUUUUCCUCAUAUCUCAUCGUCAUUUAACUUUUCCGGCGGCCGUUAAAAUUCAUCGGCGACAGGGGUGUUUUAUGUAGUUGGUGAUAUAAAUUGGAUUUAUUAUGUUGUGUUGCAUGUGGGGUUGUGUGAGAAUGUCUGAAAAUAUGUUUUAAUCGGAGAGGGAUGGCUUGUUUGGUUGGUGAGGUGGUGUUUUUGUGUGGCUGUGCAAAGGUUUGCUUCCGAAAGUACCGGAAAGUGUUUUACUACUUCCACUCCACUAUUUUUCUGUUUUUAAAUACUCCGUCUGUUUUUUAAUAUAUGACGAUUGACUUUUUGGCACACAUUUUUAAGUGUUUUGACCGAGUAGUUAAAAUAUUAUUUUUGAAAUUUUCUUUUUCUGAAUAAAAAUAUAUAAUCAAAAUUUUAAUUCACCAAAAAAAUCAAUUAAAAAUAAUGAUUUUUACUAUCCAGUCAACCCACCUAAAGGUACGUGCACAAGUCAAAAGUGACAUAUAAAAAAACAGAGGGAGUAUGACUACAGUCUACACGUGCAGACGUGCUACUUUCGUUUAUUGUUUUCAUGACUGUCUUAAUAUUUUUUUAUUAAAGAAUUUGAAUAUUUUAUGUGUUAGACAAAGAAAACAAAAUAAUUAUUUAUUUAACUCGUUUUUUCGACAGUUUGGGUCUGUCUCGGCUGGGUUUUGACGAGUGGUUUCUGUUAAUAAAACUAAUUGUAUGUCAAAAAAUAAUAAUAAGGAGAUGAUCUGAUGAUGAUCAAGCGUCUACAUGUUAAAUGUUAUUCUCUUCGUUUCUUUUUUUUUUUAAGAUUUUUUAUUUUUGACAUGUAUUUUAAAAUAACAGGUAAAAUAUAAUUUCAUAACUUAUUUUUAAAUUUAUUUUCUAAAAUAUUUGAUAUUAAAUUUUUAUUAAAAAAAAUUAAAAAUAAUUUAUAAAACUACAUUUAAUAUAAACGUAUUAGAAUAUGUGCUAGUUUUCGCAAGAUAAAGAACCUAGAAAGACAAAUAGAGUAUCUUGUCUCCAUUUUUAUUAUCCUAUAAGAAUUUCGGUACUGAUAUUACCAACCGGAGACACAUGCUCUCUGCUUCCACACACACACUGUUUUCAGGAUCUGGUGUGUUCAUGACCCAGAAGUAGAUAACUUCUUACACCAGGACACAUUAGCUGGAAAAAUGGUGGGCUUGUGAGAUAGUUGCGGAGUGGUCAGAAGCCAAGUCAUUCAUAACAACAUCCUGUAAGGAAUCUGGUAAAUCGCAAAGUUGUCUGGUUUAAGGCAUAACCAUAGGGCAUUUCAAUAUCAAAGCCAACAUCUGCGACAAACUCAAAGAGUCCAGAAAUUUGCUAGACUCUGGCUAAGAAGAUCCUGUUAUAUAGUCCGCAACAAGCCUCUGACAUUGUACAGAUGGUGUAGAAUUUCGUAGCUCAUUUCUUCCAUAUUUACAGUUUACAUUCAGUUGUGAAUAUUUAUGCCGACAUUUUUUUAAAAUUCAUGCAAAAAACUAUAAAAUCCACAUGCAUACACAGAUUGUAAUGUGGAACAUCCAGAAACAUAAAUAACAACAGAACACGAGUUUGGGGUUCCAAUUUUCAUAUUUAUCACAACAAGGAGGUCCACCUCACGGAGUAAACUUGCCACCAUGCUUUAGAAUGGGGAGCUGGGACACCUCCUCAACAAUCCGAGUUUAUCUUUUGCCCGGGCCUCAUCUUUGGCUUCUUCUGCUUCAAUGUUCUGCAUGAUGUUCACAAAAAACAUCUCAAAAUUUAACAUAUUCAAGAAUGCAGGACAACAUUUCCACCAAAUUUUCAUCAUCGGUUAGUACAAAACAUUGAAACUUUACAUAAAAAAUGCACAAUUCAAAUGGCACAAACCUCCACAAGGAAUGACAUCAUCACAUUGCACCAUUUCUGUAAAAUUGUGUUUAUGGGCUCACAAGAUUAGUUUGAGUGAAUAGUGCUGGUCUUUAACGCUGCCUGUUCAUGUCACUCAACAAAGAGAGUUUUGUUAACACAAGAAGCUAUUGUAAACAAAUAAAUUCUAAUAAAUUGAAGCUAGAUGACCAGGAAUAGGGUAUAUACCAAUCUAUGUCUGAGGUAACUGGUAAGCAUUCUUAACUUUCCAAUGAUUCAGCUCUGCUUCUAGUUCAACCGUGUACGCCUGUCCAUACAAAUAAAACAUUUGAGGUAUCACAACAGUAAAAAAUACACACUUCAGUUUAGAAACAAGAUAAGAGCGGUACAUGUUUUCUUGCUCUGGAUCUUACUGCAGACUCCCUGUUUUUCAGUAUCUUCUUUCGACGGUUCUCAAUGACCCUUUCCACAGGGCCAUUCCGCUUCCUUCCCUAUCCCAUCAGAGGAAACAUGACUCAUGUUGGUAUUACUCCCCCUCCAUGAACACUAUAGGCAAGUUGGUAUGUGCUGUCGCUACUUAUUCCACCUGGCAAGCAAGCCGCUACACUUGCUCUACCAAUUUGUGGCAGUGAUUUGAAUAGAGUAAGAAUAUUAAGCUACCAGCACCACCAUAUCCCAGAACCAUAAAGCUAGAUGCUGCUGUAUUUUCGUAGUUUACAUGCAUACCAUAGGCCAGUUGAGAGUGAGGCUGUGGCUGAAGCUGAGGCAGCUGAGGGGGAAGAGAAGGAGGAGGAGGUGGUUGUGCUUGUCUGGCACUUUCUUCUCGGACUACACCUGCCCUGACAAAAAAUUCCUCCAGUGUCAUUUUUCCAUAUGCAGGUUCGCUUUGCCUGGAACCAGAAUGAUCGGUGCUUUGCUGUGUUCUACUGAUCUCAGACCACACUUCUGCCCCUCUUUUCAAGCUCAUUUAUUUAAUUUUUUUAAAUUGAAAUAUUGAUUCCAGUAAUCGACCAAUAACAUGAUAUGAGAUAUGAUACCUUAAAAGCAUAUUAAUUUAACUCGUUUCCUCAACCUCAUAGGACUACACUGCGCAAACCAAACGACCCCUUGGAGUCUGUUUUAUGAUACCGGAUUUUAUUGGCGAUUUACCCAUUCACUGACUUUUGCUAGCCCUUUUCAAAUUUAAUCUUAAAAUUUUACAUGUUUAUAUAAUAAGUCAGAGACUGACAAUAUGUAAAAUAUGUGAGAACCUGAUUUAAUUUCAUAAGUUGGUAGGUUGUAUUUUUUUGAACAACUUAUUUUAUUUAAUGAUUUUUCUAAUAUAAAUCAAUUUCAUCAUUCAAAUGAAUAACAUAAUAAAUUACUUUUAUUAUUAUAAUUUUAAUAACUUAUAAGUCACAUACAAUGUAAAUUAUCUAGAUAACUUAAAUUACACACCUAUCAUGACAAAGAGAAAUACUUAUAUUAUAUGGAGGUAGAGUAGGGGUUUAUUGGUACCAUAAAUAUUCUAUAAAAAUGACAAAACCGAAAAUAUAAGGAUUACAUUUAAUCAUUUUUUGUUGGAACUUCUUGCAGUUACAAUUAAACUCAAAUAUAUUGUUCUAAUGGGGCUCCAGGUUUAUUAAAGAAAGAAGCUGCUCUAAUUCUUCUGCUACUUGCUUUGCAUCAGGUCUUGAUUUGGUAUCUACUGAGGUGCAUCUAAGUGCGAGGGAAGAGGCUGUUGAUGCUGCUCCUACAGUGUAUUGGCCUUCCAAAUGUGCAUCCAUUAUAUCCAAAAUCCCAUGCUCUUUGCUGAGCCGAGACUGAACCGAAGAAGCCAGGUUCACCUCAUUGUCGGCUUUUCGUCCUGUCAAAAGUUCCAGGAGGACAACUCCAAAGCUGUAGACAUCGCUUUUCAAUGUUAAUUCACCUUCAUAAGAAUAGAUUAUCAUGGGAUUAGUAGAUAAUACAGAAGCAAGGAGUAUGUGCCCUGCUUGAUUAGAGAUAUUUGCAAUCUACUUCCAGAAAAAAUAUAACAUGUACACAGCUAAACCCUUUAGACGUAAGGUUAUGUGAAAUAUUAACCUGUAUGAUAAUAUUCGGGAUCUAUAUAACCGAAUGUUCCCUGAACACGUGUAGUAACAUGGGAUCUUUCCUCUUCUGGUCCGUCCUUAGCCAGACUAAAACCAGAGAGCUUUGCAUUGUAUUUCUGUCAGUAACAGAAAUUUUGUCAGGCAAAAGUAUAUUUUUAGGGGGAACAAUGGUCGGUAGUAAAUUUUAACCAUCAUUGUUUCUACAUACUGAAUCAAUCAAUAUGUUGGAUGUUUUGACAUCACGAUGUAUAACAUUUACUCCUGGACCAUGAAGAUAUGCAAGCCCCUUAGCAGCUCCAUGAGCAAGACCUAUACGAAGUUUCCAGGAGAGCCGUUGAGAAGUAGAAACCCCUGUUUCAAGUGAAUUAAGUAGCUGCGUCAAACAACAGUUUUUCACAGGCAUAGCUUACAAAACCCAGGUUUUUCCCCUUCUUAAGAUUUUUACAAUUUUACGCGGAGCCCACCAUCUAAUAACUUAUGACGAAUAUUAUACGAGCGAUGAAAAAUUGAACUUAAGACGCAUUCAAAAGCGACAGAUAUUUUCCGUCGUAAUUGUGUCCAUUUACGACAGAUGCAGUGUUAUAAGAGGAUAAUUGACUAGAUCAGAGCUAAUAAUAUUAAGAAACUCACGCAGAUGCUGGUCCAAGCGUCCAUGAAGUGGGUGCUCAAGUACUAGAAGCCGCUCCUUUUCCAAGCAAUAUCCAAUCAGUUUUACGAUAUUAGGAUGACAAAGUUUUCUUAAGGUAUCGAUUUCUUUCUGUAGUAUAAGAGGUGACAGAGUUCUUUAGUAGCUUAAAUAAAACACAACAAAAAUUGUAAAACUAAAACAAAAAGAUCACAGGGAAAUGUAUUGCAGGCAAAAGUUGAAAAGUGAGACUAACCAACCACACCUCCUUGAAAUUUGGGUUAUCUUUCAAUCUCUUUAUUGUAGUAAUCGGACCAGUACCCUUAUAAUAAGUAUAAUAAUCAUCAUUCCCCCACAGAGCACCGGGAUCGAACUUGCUGGUAGCUGUCCUGAGAUGAUGGAAUGUGUAACUCUUCAAAUUUGAUGGCUUCAUGAUGAGCUUUGAACAGGGCUGUUUGAGACUUUUUUUUUGAGGCCCUGUGCUAACUAUAAGAAUGAGGUCCUCCCAAAUGACAACACAAAAUUUUAAUAUAUUUAAAAUAAUAAGAUAUCAUCCAUAAAAUUAUACUACUACAACUGAAAAAUUGUUUGAUUGCAACUACUACAAAAAACAUCAACUAUUACUUGAACUUGUCACUUCUUCUAGCGUUUUUUGAAGUGAAUUCAUCCACCAAGUCUUCAUAAUCAAUUGGUUGGAGGCUUUUAAAAAAUAAAAUUCAGAUAAUUUCUACACCCAUUUGAUGAACACCGGAGCUUGAAAUCUUUGAUGGAGUCUGGAGAAGAAAUGGCAUGACAGUGGAAUGGACAAAUGAGUCACUAAAAUAUGUUUGCUCGUUAAAAGUUUUGUUUUUUUGGAUAGUUAGACUUAAAUAUGUGUGUGGCCAUGUGGGAUUUAGCUUACACAGUGUACUAGUUUGUGGGGGUGGGGGGAGGAAUAAGAAGAGACAUGCAUAGCUCGAUCUUGAGAAUUGAUUAGUGUUUAAAUAAAAUAAUGUUAACAAUUAAAGAGAUGUUAAUAUUAUAUUAUAUUUAUCAUGAGUAUACUAAGAGAUAGACAGAAGUAGUCAUAUAAAAACGGCCCUGGCUUUGAAUCCCUGUUGACUGGCGUACUUGGCCAAACCUAUUUUUAGCGUAUUCGUGUAGCUUUUGUUAAAGAAACUAUAGGUCAAUUUAUGAUUUAUAAAUCUAUAUAGAUGAAAUUGAAGAUCUUAAUUUUUUUGUUACUUAAUUUGGAUUUACAAAACGUAUUACAGUGAGAUUACCUGAUAUGACCCGAGCUGCAAGUGUCAGCAAAGUAGCAAAUCUUUGAAAAGAAGAAGACUGCUUCUCUUUCUCGGGGAAGAAUGAAGAAGACUGCUUUUCCUGAUGCCUACUGCUGGAAAUACCAUCCAGCUCAUCAUCGGAAUUUUCAUUCUCCACCUCAUGGUCUGAUACAUCUCCUUCCUCCACCUCAGAGUCUGAUAUAUCUAUUUCCUCUUGGUUCUCAUCACUAGUUAUCUUUUCAGUCCUCUUUUCUUGCAAGGCCAAGGCAGACUCAAGACCAACAACAACCUCAGCCAUAGUGGGACGAUGUUUAGGUUCGGUCUGUAAACACUGGAUUGCAACUUUCACGAACAUCUCUAGAGAAUCAGGAUACACAUUAUCUUUUAUUCCCUCAUCAAUAAUUUCCCCCAGUCUUUUCUCUCUGAAGCAAUAUUGUGCCCAUCUAGCUAAACCAAUUUGCUCUUCAUCCAGACUCUUGUCCACUGCUGGCCUUCCACACAAGACCUCAAAUAACACAACACCGAAGGCAUACACGUCGGAUUUCCUCGUGAGCCUUUGGGUUUGGAAAUAAUCAGGAUCAAAAUAUCCAAAGGUUCCUUUCACCUGAGUGCUUACGAAUGUAUGCGUCUGAUUAGCUGGACUUGUUCUAGAUAAUCCGAAAUCAGAAACCUUAGCUGCAAAAUUCUGGUCAAGUAGGAUGUUAGUGCUCUUUACAUCACGGUGUAUGAUUCUCUGGUAAAUCCCUGUUCCAGUGUGAAGGUAAUCCAGUCCUCGAGCUGCUCCGAUACAAAUCUUGAGACGUUGAACCCAUGAAAGAGGCGAAGAAGAAGUGUCAUCUUGUCUAAGCCUCUUAUGAAUAUGAUCGGCUAACGUACCACCUGCCAUAAAUUCAUAAACAAGAAUCAUCUCAUAACCUUCAUUACAGUAACCAAUUAAAGACACUAGAUUGAUGUGCCGAAUUUUUGAGAGCAUCUCAAUCUCUGCACGGAAUUCUGUGGAUCCUUGUUUCGAAGUUGAUUUCAACCGUUUUAUGGCAACUAGAGUUGCUCCCAGAGUCCCUUUGUAAACAUUUCCAAACCCGCCUUUUCCGAUCACUAAUUCGAUGUGGAAGUUACGUGUCGCACGCUUCAUCUCAUUAAAGGAGAAACGGUAACAUGAUUGUCGAGUAGACGAUGAUUGAAGCCAGUUUUUUUGUUCCACGACUUCUGCUUCUUGAAGUUUUUGGAGCAUGUAAACUACGAUAUUCAAGAUGGUAAUAAGAAUAAUUGCUAAAUUUACAGUGAUGUUUGUAUAUCCAUAUAGAAAUACCAAAUCUUGUGUCAUUGCAAGAACAAGAAUACAGCAAAAAUAAAAACUUGACAAUAAUAUUAUAGCAAGAUAGAUUGGGCUAAACCCAGACGAGUUAUGUGUAGGAAUAGGAUGAAGAACAUUGAUCGGUUGACCACAAGUCAAGAAAUAGUGAGGGUCAACACUGCAAAUAUAUCCUCAAACAAAAUACACGGUUCCAAAUAAUUUAACAGUUUAUACCAGUGGAAUUUUCAAUCACAAGCUUUACGUAAACUUGUUAUUUGUCUCACAACUAUUGUUCACAUUUACGUGUAAACUUGCACAUGUAUAUGAGUAGUGCUACAUGCACAAAAUUAGGUACAGAAUUUUGCACAAAAUGAUGUGACAACUGAGGUGGGAAGUUAUAAUUGGUACUAUUAAUGCAUAUACAGGGAGCCCAUUUCAAUCAAAAGUUGACACAUACUCAUUAUGUGAAUGUAUGUUUUUUACCCAAUUUUGUGCUUCUAGCAUUUUCCCAUGUAUAUUUCACGAGUAGUGCUAGGUGCACAUAAUUGUGUACAUAGAACUUGCACAUAAUGAUGUGGCAAUUGAGGUGGAGGGUUUUAAUUAGGGUGGUUGAUGUGAAUACAGGGGGCUCAUUCCAAUUAAAAACUCCCACAUGUCAUUAUGUACACAAUUCUGUAUACAAUUCCAUAUUUCACUCUCUGUUUCCCAGAUUUCAUCUUCUUCUCCUACUUCAGUUUCUAGUCUUAACCCCACCCGUAUGUUUUUUCGCUUAUAUCUAUGUCUUCAAGUAUUGCUAUAGUGUUAAAUUCCCCAUUUUCUCGAUGAUCAGAGCAUGUGGACAAAAAAUAUGCCCGACGGGUGAAAAAUCGGAUCAAUUAGGUUUCGGUUAUCAUCGUGUUGACGCUACAUCAAGUUGAUUGGAGUUGCGAGAUGAUCAUUCAUAUGGGUCCAUCUGAUGAGGCAAUAUCCGUACUAACAGGUGUGAUCUUUCCAAAACAUAAAAUUAUAUGACUAUGAUUAUGUGAUUAUUCUUACAGUAUAUUUUCUUGCGAUGCGGUUCAUAUUUCAUUUUUUCAUGAUUAGAUAUAAUUGUGUGCUUAGAUCUAUUAUGUUAUGGGUUGUUUCGUAUCCUAUUUCAUCAUUUUUUAACAUUUUUUUUCUUUCGGAUUUGAGGAGAUUGAUAUGUUGAAUCAAUGUUACAUCUUAUUUGUCCCGUAUCAUAUUUUGAUUUUAGUUUUUCGCUAGUGUGCAUGAUGAUUGUUUGCAGUUCUUGAACGGUGGCGGUGGAGGUGGUGUAUCGGUGACUUAAUUAGUGCGCGUAGAUUAUUCUGCUCGACUAAUUUUAUUGCAUGAUUUUGUUUCUAGUUCUGUAAUUUUGGAUAUUGUUUGUUUCUACAUGCUUUAAUUGAUAGAAUGUUUAUUGCUGAUUUUGUACCUGAAUUCUAUAAUUCAUGGGGGCCAUUUAUGAUGGCUUUAUUGUGCCUUAAUGAGGUAUUAUUGCGCCAUUAAGGGUUGAUUUGUUGAUUGGUGUAUACCAAAUUUAUAUGGUGUUGAUAAUGAUAAUUAGCUAUAAUCGUGAUACAUUUAUUUGUCAAGAUUUUGUCUUAUAUUUGAGUAGAUAUAUCUUAGCCAUAUUUUAAUUUUCAAUUAUAUUUUCCUAAUUUUAUUUAAAUAUUUAUUGAUAUUAAUAGUCAAUUAUUUUCCGCUGGGAUUUAAAUUUUAUUAUUUGUUAUUUUAUUAGGUAUCUAACUAAAGAGAUCUCACUGUCUCUUUGGUGUAGAUUUUUUAAUGUUUUGUUUCACAUUAGUUUUAUUUUACUUUUCUUAUGCUUUAAAGAAUUAUAUGAUAUUCAUAUUUUUUAUGAGUUUGUUGACUUUUUUUCUCUUUUGUUUUGGAUAGUUUUAUUAUUCUAUUUUCAGUAUGAACUUACUAUGUUUCUUUUAUUUGUAUUGUAUUUUUCAGGAUACGCGAGUGGAAAAAGAAUGAUAGCGGGAUCCUUUAUGGGUGUUUUCUUAUCGAACAUUAAAAUUUUAUUGUCUAAGUGUUCCCGGUAAAAAAACUCCUGGCAGCGGUUAUUAUAUUCUGAUACAAUUCAUUAUACGAGAAAGUAUCUUGUGACGAAAAAAAAAACAGUUUAAAACAGUGGGAUCAUGGUCCGCAAUCAUAAAAUUAUAACAUACGCCAGAUAAUUUUUGCAACUAUGCAGAUUGAUUGGUUGCAAGUAAUUAACUAAUAAUUUCUUCUCUUUAAAUUCCAAAUAUACAGGUACAUGAUAAAUAUACACAUCCAUAUCCUAAAACCGAAUUUUUCCAGAUCAGAUACGGAUAUUCAGGAUUAUAUUCGACUAGAAUUUUAAUUAAUUUAUAUUUCUUGUGAUUUACUCCCUCCGUCUCGACCAAUUUUUUACGUUUGGUUUGGGCACUGAGGUUAACAAAUAUGUAUAAAGUAGUGGAAAAGAGGAAGAAAGGUGAGUGAAGUGGUGGGACUCAUCAAUUUUUAAUGAAUAAAAGAGAGAUAGGGGAGUAAAAGUAGUGUGAAAAGGGAGAAAAAAUUUGGAAGUGGUGGGACCCAUUGACUAUUUUUUAUAAGUUUUGGAAUGUAAAGAAUUUGAUGGUACAUCCCAAAAAAGAAACCGUAAAGAAUCUUGUGGACGGAAGGAGUAUUAUAUAAGUUGCUUGACGUUUACACGCUUUUGUGGAUAAUUUGAUCAUGUAUCUAAAUUUUUUAAAAAAAAUCAUUUUUUGAAUAAAAAUAUAUAUGUUAUAUUUUUAUUCAAAAAAGUUUAUAAAAAUAUUAAUUUUUGCUAUACGGUCAAAACACCUAAAUUACGGGUAAAAAUUCAAACAACAUAUAUAAUGGACGAGAGAGAGUAUAAAUUUUAAUAGAUUGUAUUUAAUUUUGAUUUUAUACAGAUUCGAAUGUCGUAUGAUACUGUAAAGUCUUUAGAAUUUAAACACAAGAAAAAUGUUGUACUUAUGAUUUUUCAUGUAUAAUACCCUCAUGUUAUGUAAAAUUAGAUAGAAUUGAUUUCAGAUUGUAAAAUAAAAUGAUAUUUUAAAUCUUUGUAAGAAAAAUACAUAAAUAGACUUUUAAAUCAUAUAAACCGGAGUCAAACUAAGAGGGGUGUAUUCGAUUGGAAUUUUAAUGGAUUGUUUUUAGUCUAUGGAUUUUAAUGGAUUGUGUUUGAUUUUGAUUUUGUGCGGAUUCUUGAUAAAAUGUCGCAGAGUUUUAAGCACAAUGCUUCAAAAUCCCAUUGAUUAUUUUGAUGGGAUUUCAAAAAACUUAAAAUACACUGAAGAAUGCCACAAAAUCCAUCAUUUUAUGAAAUGCAAAAAAAUCCAUCAGCAUUUGAAUACCAUCAGAUUUUAAUGGAUUUUAAACAAUCCCAAUUGAAUACCAUCGGAUUUUAAAACAUAAUUUAAAAUCCCAAUUGAAUACCUCCAGAUUUUGUAGCAUAAUUUGAAAUCCCAAUUGAAUACCUCAAGAUUUUAAUGGAUUUCAAACAAUCCUAAUCGAAUACCCCCGGAUUUCAUGAAUGCAAAAAAAUGCUUUAAAAUCCCAAUCCAAUACACCCCUCUAAGUGUAACAUAAUUGAUCAAAGUUCAGUUAUGAAAUUCGAAUAUAUCUCACUCAGUUUAACUCAUUUUACAUGAUUUAAAAGUAUAUUUCAUAUAUAUUUUUUUAAUAAAAAUUUCAAGUAUAUAAUUUUUAAUAAGGUGGCGAACUCAAGAUCCCGAAAUAAUUUCAAAUCUUCCAUUAAAAAUCAGUAUCAAUCCUUGAGGACAAGGAUUGUUUCAAGGAGGGACUAUUAUAACAGAGAUCCAUAAUCAUAGUAUUGCUACUGUGCCAUUUAACUAGAAUAAAGUGUAUAGUUUUUUUUUACUUUGAGAUAUCCAAUAGUGUCAUAGUACAUUCUCUACGUGAAUUAUAAAAUAAAGGGUCUUAGUGAUCUAGGAUCAAUAAUUUGUAUCUCAGCUCCGAUAACAAUCCCUGUACUCAUUUCUGAUUCUUAUUAUAAUAAUAUAUUAACUAAACUAGAAAAGAAGAAAUAAGGAGACAAAAAAUGUGUAAAGUAUAAAGUAGUGAAAAUCAAGAGUGUAGAAAGGGAGGAAAAUGAAUUGUAGAUUCCAAAACAAAAAAAUAGAGGAUGACUAGUAGUUACCUAAAAUAAGGCAUGACUAAUAAAUUUGAGAAUGUCUUGGUGAUUUAGAGAAUCACUAGGACACUGUUGGAACCGCAUUUUAGAUCACAUUCCCUGUAUUUGAGCUUAGGAGCUUGUUUAGGGAAGCUUUUGGACUCGCUCUUAUCAGUAGUUGAGUCACAAAAUGAUAUCGUAUUAUCUGUAGCAACCUUAGAUCAUGAGCCCGUAACCGUUUGAACAAACAGCCAACUACUGAGACACUUGUUCAGAGAAGUGGAGGACAGACUUGAGUGGUGUAAUUUUACCUGUAUUUAGGGGUGAUCGCGGUGCGGGCGGUGCGGUUUUUUGCUAAAACCGCGAACCAAACCGCGCAUGCGGUUUGGCUAAAAACUCAAACCGCAACCGCACCACGCUAGCAUAAAAACCGCGUAAACCGCACCACAAAAAUGCGGUGUGGUGCAGUGCGGUUUGUGCGGUUUGUAUGCUUAAGAAUAAAUAUUUUUAGUUGAAGUUAGAAAUAAAAUUUAAAUAUACAAUAAUUAAAAACUUUGCAUGUAAUGAAUUUAUAUGAUAUUUAUCAUUACAGAGCUACAACAACUACUAAAAUAACACAAACAAAAAUGUAAAUAUGAUAAUAAAUACGAGUACUAACUACUAAGAGACAUAUUAUAAUAAUAUAAUCAUUUCAUACAAAUUUGUAUAAUAGUAAUGCGAGAUUGAUAAAAUAAUAAUUAACUAUUAUUUGAAGAGAUUUAACAAACAUAUAUAAUAUAAUUAUAAAUAAUAUAGAUGUAUAAUAUAAUUUUAUUUGACAAUCACUAAUAUACAUGUAUAUAUAAUGAUAUUGCGGUGCGGUGCGGUUUGAACCGCACUACUAAUAUGUCAAACCGCAAUCCGCACCGCACCGCGCGGUUUGUGAAAAAUUCAAACCGCAACCGCACCACGAAAAUUAAAAACCGCGUUUUGUGGUGCGGUUUGAUACGAUGCGGGCGGUUUAUGCGGUGUGGGCGGUUUUUUGAUCACCCCUACCUGUAUUUCUCCUUUACUGUCUUGUAUUUCCUUUCCAGUUUAAUUCCAGUUAUAUACAUUACCAGCAUUAUUCCUUCAGUUUAUUUCAAUUCUGUCCAGUUAAGUUUGCUUAUCAUCUUAAUUAUGACAAAAAAAAAAGAAAAAGAAGUUUGCUUAUCAUCUUUAUAUCAAGUCACUGGUUACAUCAAAACUACCUUUAAAAUAAGAAAUAAUUUACUUGGAAGUUUCAUAUGCAUUUUGUCUGAACUUGUUGCAUAUUAUAAAUAUCCUAUGAAUUAUAUAGUUAGUUAUAUUAUAAUAGUUGUUCGUUUUUUAGUAUUAAAUAAUUAUUGCAGAAAAAUAGAUGUUUCAACUAAGUCUGCAACCUGUCAUGGGUUUAGCAAAUGUAUUAUUAAGUUAAGUAGCCAUCGUGCACACCCUACUUGUGUUGCUGGGUCCGAAUUCCUGUGUUUUGUAUAGACUUGAUGAGUGAGUCAACCACAGGUGAUAUUGUAAAUAUAUAGUUGGGACCUAUUAUUAGCUCAUGUACCUUCUUCAUUUUUUCAUAGAAUUGUGAAGUGAGUUUAGAGCUGUGUUGUAAUUACAAAACAGUAAUUAUGUGCAGCUAGUGUCUUACUGUUCUUCUUCUGUCUGCACAUGUGCCACAAUGACACAAAACUGGGAAUUUCUGUUUGGAUAUACAAACAUUGCUGUAAAUGGUGGGAUCAUUCUGGUCAUUAUUUUAAAUGUCGUGGUUCAUAAAUUUCGACAGCUCCAAGAAGCAGAACUCACAAAACAAAAAUCCAGCUCUUGUCAUUGUCUGCAAGAGAAUUGUGUUAUCGUAUCUCACUUGAUCAGAUGCAGCGGCCAACAUCUAAUUUCCCUGACCAAAAAAUGUUGGCUGGUUAUCAUCUUCAUAUCAAGUCACUGGUUACAUCAAACUACCUUUAAUAUAUGAAAUAAUUCGUUUGGAAGUUUCAUAUGCAUUUUCAUUGAACUUGUUGCAUGUUAUAAAUAAUCUAUGAUUGAUAUAGUUAGUUAUAUUACGGGUUAAAUGGCUAAUUCAUAAUUAAGCUACUUAAAAAACUUGCAGUUUGAUCAUGUUGUUAAAAAAGCUCACAGUCAACUAAUGAAGUGUUUAAAAACUUGCAUAUCAAUAAUUCUCGUUAACUCUGUUAAAAACAUUAACAGAAAACCCAAAUUUCGAUUAUGAGCAGCCCAAACAAUAGCUAUCACCGCCACUAUUAUGCACACACAACUAUCCCUCAUCUCCUCCACCUCUUUAUCUCCUUCCAACCCCAUCCCGUCAUCAUCUGUAACGGCGGAAUCCGUCGCACCAUCCCGACUGAUUCGAACUCCACGACCAUCCCUUUCGUUGUCAAACUUAACCCCCCACGCAACAACAUAUACACAAAAUCAAACCUCUCUCGACUCACGGCGGUUAUGCCGCCAACUGUAGUUCAAGCCGCAACAGCCACACCGCUGCUCAACUUCCUUUCUGCCGCGAAACUCAACUUUGUAUCCCAGUCGGAAUUUUCAACAUCGCUGACCUCCUUAACGCAACUCCUUCACAUCUCAAUCAAACUCAAGCAAGCAUAUGUUUUAUUUUGAUUAUAGAUGUAAUUAGGAUUGUAUCGGGUCGGGUUAACGGGUAUUUUAAUGGAAAACGUUAAAAGUCAAUGACCUUUAACGUUCGUGUAAGUUUCUGUAAGCAAGAUCGUUCAAUUGAAAAUUAUAUGAAGCAAAGUUAUGUGUUUGAAAGUUUUUUCAACAACAUGACCAAACUGCAAGUUUUUAACCAGCUUAGUUAUGUAUUAGCUAUUUAACCCGUUAUAUUACAAUAGUUGUUUGUUUUUUGAAUAAUUAUUGCAGAAAGAUAGAUGUUUCAACUAAGUCUGCAACCUGUCAUUGGUUUGAUAUCGUCACAUUUGACUAGUAUCAUAUUUUAGAGGUUUAGCAAGUGCAUUAAUAAGUUAAGAAGCUAUCAGGCACACCCUGAUUGUGUUGCUGAGUCCGAAUUCUUUUGUUUUGUAUAGACUUGAUAAGUGAGUCAACCACAGGUGAUUUUGUAAAGAGUUGAGACCUGUUAUUAGCUUCAAUGAAAUGGCUCAUGUACCUUCUUCAUUUUUUUAAUGUACCUUCUUCAUUUUUUAUAGAAUUGUGAAGUGAGUUUAGAAUUGUGAAUUGUGAUGUUUCGUUUUUUGUUCGGAUAUACAAACAUUUUUGUAAAUGGAGCCACCAUUCUGGUCAUUAUUUUAAAGAAUUACUGUAAUAGGUUAAAAAGUCACUCAACAAUUAUUAGGCUAAAAAGUCACCCAGCUCAUUGUCAACUUGCAGUUGGGUUACUGAAUUCAAAAAGUUUGUUGUCAAUUAAUUGAACUAAUAAAAACUUGUUUUUAGGUAACUACCGCUAGUGUCCUAAACGAAAUGGACGGAACGGACAGAAAUGUCCAUUUUUUGAAAAAUAUCUUUAUAUUUUAAAAUUUUAUGGGGAAACUUCUAUAAUUUCAUAAAAUUUAUAAUGGUGAAGAAAUGACAAUUUUUUGAAAAAUCUCUUUUUAAAUUCUAUGGGGGCGCACUUUUAUAAAUUUGUCAAAGACAGUGAUCAAUUUUUUUCAAAAUAUUAGGUUUGAACUGAACAUACCACUUUUAUUAAAAGGAUAUCUAGUUGGAAAUGAUUCCGUUUGGCUUAAUUACCUUAUUUUUCUGAAAGAAAUCCAGGUCUUUUAGAAAAAAUUAUGUAAAUAUGUAUUUUUAUUAAGUAUAAUACAUUUUUGCAAAAUAAUGAACAUGAAACAGGUCAAUAGCCUAAUAUAUAAACAAAUUGACCCCUAACUUGCAAUUGGAACUAAACUAAUAAAAAUUUGCAUUUAAAUAACUGAAAAGAACAUGUGCUAGCGUUUUUUAUUGAAGUCAAACAGGAGUUAACGGUUGUGCAAACUUUUUAAUGUUCAAUAACUAAAUAGCAAGUUUAGUUUAAUUUUAUGAUCCGUUUUCAAGUUUUUUGAGUUCAAUAUCUCAAGUACAAGUUGGUCAUGAGUUUUGAGUGACUUGUAGCCUAUUAACUCUUAUUUUAAAUGUUGUGGUUCAUAACUGGUUACAGAGCAGGUAAAUAACUGGUUACAGAUCAUUAACAUGGAUCUCAACUUAAUGAGAUCAGUGUUUGUGCCCUUUGAUUCGGCCUGGCAGAAGGGCAAAAAGGCGCCCAUCCUCGACUAUACUUCUAGGACCCCAAAAUUUAACCAACCUAUGUAACAAGUAUAACAUGCAUUGAGUUUUCUUCUAAAUAUGAAAGAUCUGAUAUAUUUUGUGCAGAGUAGAGUUGGUGAGACUCAACCUUUGUGCGCUCUUUCUCCCUAGAUUGGAUUCGCCGAAGAUUUCUUAUGUCACUUGUCACCAUUUAUAUAUUUAUCUUUCUCUACUUGAUUCAUAAAAAUUAAUUUCACACCUCUGAUGAGAAUUAACUAGAGGUACAGGAGAACAAGUUUGAAGUGGUAUUCUUUUCUUAUCUUUGAUGUUUAGUCUGAAAUAUUGAUUCCCUGAAUCAACAGAGCACUAGUUAAAUAAGACGUAAUGACUUAUUCAGCAACCAGCGACCUAUCUGCCUAGUGGUUGCGAAAAUAAUACUAUCUAGCUGUAGUAGAAUUUUAUGUUUGCGUCUGCAUGAUCUCACCAGCAUUAAGUUAGGUGUUAAAUUAUUUAGGAAUUGUGUAUUUUGUUUGAGGAUAUAUUUGGUGGUUCUUGAGUUGUGGUCAACCAAUUAAUGUUCUUCAUCCUAUUCCUAUACAUAACUCCUCUGUGUUUAGCCCAAUAUAUCUUGCUAUAAUAUUGUUGUUUUUAUUCUGGCUGUAUUCUUUCUUCUUGCAAUGACACAAGAUUUGGCAUUUCUAUAUGGAUAUACAAACAUCACUGUAAAUUUAGCAAUUAUUCUUAUUACCAUCUUGAAUAUCGUGGUUUAUAUGCUCCAAAAACUUCAAGAAGCAGAAGUUGUGGAGCAAAAUAAUUGGCUUCAAUCAUUGUCUACUCGACAAUCAUGUUACCGUUUCUCCUUCAAUGAGAUGAAGCGGGCAACAUCUAACUUCCACGACGAAUUAGUGAUCGGAAAAGGCGGGUUUGGAAAUGUUUACAAAGGGAGUCUUGCACCUGGAGCAACUGUAGUUGCCAUAAAACGGUUGAAAUCCAUGUCAAAUCAAGGAUCCACAGAAUUCCGUGCAGAGAUUGAGAUGCUCUCAAAAGUUCGGCACAGCCAUCUAGUGUCUUUGAUUGGUUACUGUGAUGAAGGUUAUGAGAUGAUUCUUGUUUAUGAAUUUAUGCCAGGUGGCACGUUGGCCGAUCAUAUUCAUAAGAGGCUUCGACAAGAUGACACUUCUUCUCCACCUCUUUCAUGGGUUCAACGUCUCAAGAUAUGCAUCGGAGCAGCUCAAGGACUGGACUACCUUCACACUGGAACAGGCAUCUACCAGAGAAUCAUACACCGGGAUGUAAAGAGCACUAACAUUCUACUUGACGAUAAUUUUGCAGCUAAGGUUUCUGAUUUCGGAUUAUCUAGAACAAGUCCAGCAAAUCAGGCAGAUACAUUCGUAAGCACUCAGGUGAAAGGAAGCUUCGGAUAUUUUGAUCCUGAUUAUUUCCGAACUCAAAGGCUCACAAGGAAAUCCGACGUGUAUGCCUUCGGUGUUGUGUUAUUUGAGGUCUUGUGUGGAAGGCCAGCAGUGGACAAGAGUCUGGAUGAGCAGCAAAUUGCUUUAGCUGGAUGGGCACAACAUUGCUUCAGAGAGAAACGCUUGGGGGAGAUUAUUGAUCCGGGAAUAAAAGCGAACGUGUAUCCUGAUUCUCUAGAUAUGUUUGUGAAAGUUGCAGUCCAGUGUUUACAUACCGAACCUAAACAGCGUCCCACUAUGGCUCAGGUUGUGGUUGGUCUUGAGUCUGCCUUGGCCUUGCAAGAAAAGAGCACAGAAUAUUGUUCUCCAGAGACAAUUAGUGAUGAUAAACAUGAGGUGGAUAAUGAAAAUUCUGAAAAUGAGAUGCGGGGUAUAUCUAGGGGUAUAUCCAGCAGUAGGCAUCAACAAAAGUGGUCUUCUACUUUUAAAAGAUUUUUUGCUCUACUCACACCUGCAGCUCUGGCCAGAUUAGGUAAUCUUAAAAUUAAGAUUUUCUUUUAAGGAAUCUUCCAUUAAUAUUAUAAUUCCUACUAAUCUUAUAAUUAGAAAAUUACUAAUACAUGGAUAUAUUAAUCUAGUUAUCUAUGUAAUUUAAAAAACCAAUAAAAUGUAUGAAGGUCUCACUGCUCGUAAAACAAUCAAAAUCUAUUAUAAUAAAAUUAGUCAUAAAAAUCUUUUUCUUAACUUAUCUAGAAAACUUAUUCUCAUUAAAAGAUAGUGAUUUAAAUAAGUAUAAUUGUAACACCAAACUUCAAAUAUGGAAUAUAACAAGAUAUAAGCUAAUCUAUAUUAUAAUUUAUACAUACACACACAUAGACAUACAUACAUACAUACAUACAUAUAUGAAUUAAUAUUUUGUGUUUUGAUUUAUUCCUUAUUUUUUGUUGUCAAUUUUAAUCAUUAAUCUUUUAACUUAAGUGCUAUAUUGUAACUAUAUAUAGGCAUUUUUUUGGGUUAAGUCUCAUCUUUACUUUUGCAAUAUUAAAUUUUUUUUAGCUCAAAAUGAUGAGAAUUAUAGAAUGUAAUACUAAAAAAUAUUAUCCGAAAUUGAACACCGGAGAAUGAAGUAAAAUUUAUAAUAUAAAUUUGGGGUAAUCAGAUAAGAUGUCUAAAAUUUUUAUUCCUUCAAUCCAAUCAAUCCAUUCCAAAUUAUUUGAACAAGAAAUCUAAAUCAUAUAUUUUUGAAGAAAUGCUGAUUCAACUUCUUCAUCAUGUUCUUCUACAAUCUUCUUUAUAAACAAUUUAGAUAGACACUAUUAUCUCAAAAUUUCUUACUUAUCCAAAAAACUUUUUCAUAAUUUUUCAUUUCAUUCUCACUCAUUCCAUUACAUCCAAAUGAACCCAACCUUAAUGUCUAAUGUUGUGUUUGGUUGGGGUGAAUAAAAAUGGAGGGAAUGGAAUGAGAUAUGAACUAUAAUUUAGUUGAAUUUAUAAUAAUUUCAUUCCUUCCACCAUUCCAUUCUUAUCACCCUUGACUAGAGCUAAUGCUCCAUUCCUAAUCAUACAUAUUUUCUUAUCAAAUCUUAUCAUACAAAAUUUGCAUUCACUCAUAUUUUUUUCAAAGUCCUCCCUCUUACACUCUAUUAUUUUCUUUCAUUUAUACUCAUUCCAUUCCAUUCACCCCAACCAAACACAACAUAAGAGUUUAGAAGAAUGAUUUUGUUCUCCUUUUUCUCUUCAUAAUAUUUCAACAAAAUUUUUAUAUGAUUUUCUCGUUGUUGGCAGUCCAAAGGUAUUCAAAGUCAGUAAAGUCAUCAAAUAUGAAGAUGUACACAUAUAAUGAUCUCUGUAUAGCUACCAGGAAGUUCCAUGCCGAUGCUGAGUUGUGGAAAGACGGUAAUUGUACCAUUUAUAAGGGUUACUUUGAUGAGAAAACAUACGCUGUUGCAAAAUGGGGUACUGGUCUGGUUACUGCAAUAAAGAUGUUCAAAGAUAGCGAAGCUGACAUUCAGGGGUAUUUGGUUAGUCUCACUUUUCAGCUUUUCCAGUACUUUUUCCUGUGACCUUUUAAGUUUUAGUUUUAGAUUUUUUUGUUGUUUAUAAGUUCUAUUUAAGCUGACUAACAAACUCUGUCACCUCUUAUGCUACAGACAGAAUUCCUUACCUUACAAAAACUUUGUCAUCCUAAUAUUGUUAAAGUGAUUGGACUUUGCCUUGAUAACAAGGAACCGUUUCUGGUACAUGAGUACCCACCUCAUGGACGCUUGCACUGGCAUCUGUGUGAGUUUCUCAAUAUUAUUAGCUCUGAUCCAGUCAAUUAUAUGCAUCCAGAAAUCAUCUAAGUAUGAUGUGAUGUUAAGUCGAAUGAGUUAUUGUCAUAAAUUUGCCUUAAAAAGUGGUUUUUGAAUCACGGCCUGAUAGAUAACUGCUAUAGAUAUAGAAUAAGAUAUAUCAGGCGAACUGGUCUUGGCCUAAGAAGGUACAAAAUUGUUCACAUCUUAAAAAGGGACAAAGUUUCGUAAUCUAUGCCUUUGAAAUAAACUGAUUUUUGACGCAGUUACUUAAUUCAGUUGAAACAGGGGAUUCUGACUCUGAAUCGCUCUCUUGGAAACUUCGUAUAAGUAUUGCUCAUGGAGCUGCUAAGGGGCUUGCAUAUCUUCACAGUCCAGAAGUAAAUGUUAUACAUUGCGAUGUCAGAACAUCCAACAUAUUGAUUGAUUCAGUAUGUAGAAGCACUGAUGGUUAAAAUUUACUUCCCGACAUUUUUCCCACUAAAAAUAUAGUUUUGCCUGACAAAAUAUCUGUUACCGACAGAAAUACAAUUCAAAGCUCUCUGGUUUCUGUUGCUCUACGAACGGACCAGAAGAUGAAAGAUCCCAUGUUACUACAUUUGUUCGGGGAACAGAUGGUUAUCUAGAUCCCGCAUAUGUUAAUACAGGUUAAUAUUUCACAUAAUCUUGUGUCUAAAGGUUUUAACAUAUUGUAUAUAUGUUAUUAUAUUUUUCCUGGAAGUUGAUUGCAGUUUAUGUGUGGCAAGUAGAUUGCAAAUAUCUCUCUAAUCAAGCAAGGAACGUACUCCUUGCUUCUGUAUUAUCUAUGUGCUUACUUGGUCCCGUAUAUUUUCUAUUCCUAUGAAGGUCAUUUAACAAUGAAAAGCGAUGUCUUCAGCUUUGGAGUUGUCCUCCUGGAACUUUUGACAGGACGAAGACCAGUUUUCGAGUUUGAAACAGAGAAUACGAGCCUUGCUUAUUGGGCUCAGUCUCGGCUCAGCAAAGAGCAUGGGAUUUUGGAUAUAAUGGAUGCACAUUUGGAAGGCCAAUACACUGUAGGAGCAGCAUCAACAGCCUCUUCCCUCGCACUUAGAUGCACCUCAGUAGAUACCAAAUCAAGACCUGAUGCAAAGCAAGUAGCAGAAGAAUUAGAGCAGCUUCUUUCUUUAAUAAACCUAGAGGUCAACGAGAACGACUUAAGCAAGCCAACUGCACGGUGACAAUAAAUAAUGAUUUAAUGUAAUCGAUAUAUUUGAAUUUUGUCAUUUUUAUAGAAUACGUAUUGUACCAAUAAACCACUGCUCUUCCUCCAUGUAAUAUAUUUCUCUGUCAAAGUGUGCAAUUUAAAUUUUCUACGUAAUGUUAUAUUGUGCGUGAUUUAUGAGUGUGUUAUGGUACAGGAUGGUGCUAUAAUGCUUAGUGAAUUGCAGAGAAAUUUUAGAUAUAGCUCCAAUGUUUACAUAUUGGACCCAAAGACCGUCCCACAAUGGGUGAGGUUGUGGUUUGUCUCGAGUCUACAUUGGUAGUGCAAGAACAGAACACAGCUUCUACUUUACUGGAAGGCUCAACUGUCAAUCAUAGCCAUGAGAUUAUGGAUUAUUCAUCAGAUGAAAUGCAUAAUGCUGUAUAAGGUUAAUCCACUGUGCGAAAAAAGUAACGGUUCGAAUCAAAAGUGGUUUUCAUAGGUUUUGAUUUCAAACUUCGGAUACAGUGCAGAUAAAUCGACUUUGUGUAUCAAAUUCGAUUCAAAUAAAAAUCAAAUGGCCUUAGCGGUUUUCCAGCGGACGAGCGUGCUAGAUUUCUUCUUGAAUGAUGUUAUCCGGGUAAGUUUGCGUUUAAAUCAUUUCCUUGAGGUGAUUGUCAUCGUUCUGAUAUCUUGAUAAAUUUGGAAUCAAAGUGCUUGGAUGCAACAGAUUGUGAAUCAUAUUCACUGUGAUUUGUUCGUCCACGCUUGAAUGUGUUGUUUCCUUGUUUCUUUUUAGUUUUGUUUGUUCAGAAUCAACCUAGAAAGCAAGGAUACUUCAUCUGGGUGAAGAACUGUGUAGGAGAUACUUGGGGUGCGGGGGUGCGGCGGGAUACGCCACGUGGCGUAUCGGUGGAGGCAGCGAUGGGGAUACGCGGGGUGCGGGGAUGGGGGUGCGGCAGUGGCACAAAUCGUAAUUUUUAACAACUUUUUUUUUAAAACUUAAAAUUAGUUGGUCAAAAGAAAGAAAAGAGGGAUCAAAACCUAAUUAUACUAAUUGAGUACCUGUACCAGAGAGAGCAGAGCAUCUCCAGCUCAAGUAUGUCGAUUGGUAAGUGUGUUUUCUGUAAUAUCUGCUCAUGUGUGUCUAUAGAUUGUAUGUAUAUAUAAUUGCUCGUGUGUGUAANAUAUAGUACUACUCCAAUACAAACCCUCUUAUUCUACAAACUAAAAACCCAGCUGUAAUUUCACUAAAUUUUAAACACAAUAUCACUAAAUCUUUUAACAACCCCACCUCCACUUCCAUCUUCUCCGGCUAAGCCUCCACUUCUGGCAACACCAUUUCCGCCGCUCCCUCCACAUUUGUCGCCCACUGUCAUCCCGUUCACGUCCACCAUCCCUCCAUUCCUCCUCCACCAUCUCUACCACCAACGUCCACCCACCUCCACCUCUUCCACCACCUUCAUCUCGACCUUUGCCAUCAUCACCUCCACCUCAACACUUCUACCACCAACACCUUCACCUCCGCGCUCUAUCUCAGGCACUACCUCCGCCGUAACUCCAUCUCGACCUCCACCAUCUCAACCCUCACCCCCGCAUCCUCCAUGCCCUCGCCCCCUCCAUCUCCACCACCGCCAUCACCACCAGAAUCAACAAACAAAAACAGAUCUGGAGGUUUGCAUCAAGUUCUGGAGAUUUUUAUGAAUAUCACUAAUUUCUACAGCGGAUAUCACUAAUUUCUAAAGCGAAUUUCACUAAAAUGUAUAGCUGAUAUCACUAAAUGGUAUAUCAGAAUAUCAUCGAUUUUUGUAAACAUAUCAGGAGCAGGUGGUAGAGGUGGUGCUGAUGAUGGUGAAAUCGGAAACAAUAACAUGGGUGGCAGUGUUGGUAGGAGCGUGUGUGCAUAGAUGUGGCAGUAGAGGUGGAAGAAGAAGAGGGAGAUGAAGUGGGGUUGAUGAAAGAGAGAAGGUGGAAGGAGGAGAAAGAAAGGGGCAGAUCUGGAUGGGGGGUUACUGCUGGGUUAUAAUUAAGUGUAGGUGAGUGCCUUUAGUAAUUUAAGGAGUUUCAAUAGUGGUUUCUAGUUUUUAUUUUAAGAUUGGUUUUAUAUAUAUAUAUAUAUAUAUAUAUAUAUGGGGGCUUCUCAGUGAGUAACCAACAUAAAUGGUAACCUAGGAACCCACUACACAGAAUUGCCCAUUACACGGAGAGACAGGAGAUAUUAAGCAGUUAUACCCAUGCAGUUAGUGGUUUUGUUUAUCAUUUAUUUUCCAAUUUUCACCUUUUAUUUAUUCAAAAAUAUUUGUAUUAAAUUUUAAUUUUUUAUGUAACAUAAAUCUUUUUAUGAAAAACUUAUUAAUAUUUUUUAUGUGCAUUUUUUGUUUGGUAUUUUCUGUUAAUUAACUUCACUCUUUAUUAUAUAUAUUUUAAUGUAAAGUUUUGAUUUAUAUUUUAGUGUGUAGUAAUUCAAAAUUUAUGUGUUCUGUAUUUUUAGAUUAUACUUGUUUUGUAUUAUUAGUGUUCUGUAUUCUUAUUUUGUAUUAUAUAAAAUUCUGAAUAAUGUUUCUUUUAGAUUUCUAGUAGUUUUAAAAAAAUAUGUCUUGUAUAUAUUAUUGUAUAUCCCAAUUGUCUAGUUGUUCUUGUUUGUAUUUUUUAUAUGUUCUGUAGUUUAAAAAAUUGUGUUCUAUGUUUAAUAUUUAUAUCAAAUUUAUAUUAAUGAUUAUUUAUGUUUUUACAUAUACAUAAUAUACAUUAUUUAAACUAAUUUAUACCAUGUUCUUCAAAAUUAUAUUAUAUAAACACAACAUAUGGUGAAAAAUAUAAAUUACAAAUAUUAUAUAAUCCAAAAUAAAAUCAAAAUAAAGAAUAUUAAAAAAGAGAGAUGAUGUUUUAUAUUUUAGCAUGUAUUUUUUUAAUCUUUAAUGUGUUGUGUGCUGUAUUAUUUUAUAAACAUGCUAUUGUUCUGUAUUUGUUUUUAUGUGUUCUGUAGUCGUAUUUUUUGUGUUUGAUAUAUAUAUUAUUGUCCUGUACUUUUUUGUUGUGUCAUACGGGUUUCAUCAUAUUAAGUUCUGUGUUAUAUGUAACAAUAGAAAAUAAAAUUUUUAAUUUUGUACGUGCCCACGUGUUUAAAAAUUUAAACAAAGCAGUUAAUGUUCACGUGUCUAGGUUUUUUGAGCAGAACAGUUACAGAGUUGUUUGAUUAUUGUAGGGCUGUGAUUAAAAGUUACUAGUUACCACGAUAAGAAAGUUCCCACCUGAACCAUCCCCUAUAUAUAUAUAUAUAUAUAUAUAACAACAUAUUAUUAUUAAUUAACAUUCUUAAAUAAUUAAAUAGGUUUAAAUUUAUGCUNNNNNNNNNNNNNNNNNNNNNNNNNNNNNNNNNNNNNNNNNNNNNNNNNNNNNNNNNNNNNNNNNNNNNNNNNNNNNNNNNNNNNNNNNNNNNNNNNNNNNNNNNNNNNNNNNNNNNNNNNNNNNNNNNNNNNNNNNNNNNNNNNNNNNNNNNNNNNNNNNNNNNNNNNNNNNNNNNNNNNNNNNNNNNNNNNNNNNNNNNNNNNNNNNNNNNNNNNNNNNNNNNNNNNNNNNNNNNNNNNNNNNNNNNNNNNNNNNNNNNNNNNNNNUUACAUUUAAAAAUUGGUUUACGUACUUCUCCAUCACUAUUUUAAUCGAUGUUCAACAAAAUAUGUUAAAAAAAUGUUGAACUCAAGUUAUAUAUGUGUUGAACAAAAAAAGUUUGUAAGUUUGUACCAGAACCCUCCCCUAUAUAUAUAUAUAUAUAUAUAUAUAGAGUCAUGCUCCAGGGAGAACCAAUAUUAUUGUGAGAUAUGAGAUCUAAUUUUAACCACUCAUUUUAUAUCUUAAUUCAAUUUCCUACCAUACAUUAAUUUUUAAUUUUUAAAUAUUUCAUCACCAUCUUCACUCCAGUUCCACCACUGCCACCUCCAACCACCACCGACCACCAUCUUCGGCCACCACCACCUCCGGUCACCGCCGGAAAAUCACCACCGGCAAAGAUAAAAUCACCACCGGCAAAUCCAAAAUCACCAACGGAAAAUGAGAAAUCGCUCUUGGAAAAAAUAAAAUCACCACCAGAAUACGAAAAUCACCACACCCGGCCAUUAUUUAUCCCCACCAGCUCCGUUCAUCAAUUUCGGUCACCAAAAUCAUAAAAAUAAUCACCAGAUUUUAUUGUAAAUCAUAAUAAGAAUCACUAAUUACCACCACAUCACCACCAUCAUCAUCUACAAAUCCCCUAAAUCUGAAAAAUCACCUAUUACAAAAUAAAAUCACUAGAAAUGAACUCCGGUCACCAACAUAAUAACAAUAAUCACCAAAAACACCAUCAUUAAUCACCACAACCACCAUCUACAGACCACCACCACCAUCUACAACUCCCUCAAUCUGAAAAAUCACUGAUAACAAAAUAAAAUCACCAUGAACAAAAAUGAAUAACCUGCUACACGAUAAUGCUUGAGGUGUCGGGAAUUAAUGAAGGAUGAUUGUAAUCACUGGAUGGAGGUCGGAGAGCCGUCAGAAAGCUCCGUCGAUGGACUCUCAUCGGUGAGAACGAGGAAGAGCGGGGGCAAGUCAAGAGUGACGAGGAGAUAUGGAGGAGACGAAAGGAGGAUGAGUUUUGUAUAUC